rnacentral:lncRNA from 1 species
GAGUGCGCUGCAAAGCAACAAAAGGUGACAAUGAUAACCUAGACUAGGGCCUAGCAAGACUCGACAGGAGGAACAUGCUAAUAGGUUUAAGCAUCGGGGGUUUCUACGGUGUGGCAUGAAACCCAUUUGCUUUUGCCACACCAGUAUCUGCCUCAGACCUGACCAUGUGUGGCCCUGCCGACAAGCCAGACGGGUCCACCAUCGAUUGUUGCCCACCUACCACCACGACCAUCAUCGACUUCGAACUCACUGACUCAGGCCCACUUUGCACUAGGCCCGCUGCCCAGGACGUUGCAAAUGACCCUGAAUACUUGGCCAAAUACAAAAAGGCCGUCGAGCUAAUGCGGGCACUUCCAGACGACGACCCGUGCAGUCACGCCCAACAGGCCAUGGUACACUGCUCCUACUAUGACGGUGGAUACCCACAAGUCGGAUAUUUGGAUUUGGAGAUCCAAGUUCACUAUUGUUGGCUCUUCUUCCCGUUCCAUCGUAAGUACCUCUACUUCUACGAGAAAAUCAUGGGCGAGCUCAUUGGGGACCCAACGUUCGCCAUCCCCUUCUAGAACUGGGACGCGGCAGCUGGCAUGUACAUUCAUGAGAUUUUCACUAAUACGUCGUCAUCCCUCUACGACAAGUACAGAAAUGCAGCACAUCAGCCCCCGAAGCUCCUGGACUUGAAUUACAGCGGGACCGACGAUGACGUUGACGACGUGACACAAAUCAUAGAAAACUUAACAAUGAUGUACCAGCAAAUGGUGUCGAAGGCCACUUCUCACAGACUCUUCUACGGAGAGCCCUACAGCGCAGGGGACGACCCUAGCCUUGGCGCCAGAAACAUUGAGAGCAUUCCUUAUAACAAUAUUCACUUUUGGACUAGCGACCCAACCCAGACAAACGAGGAAGACAUGAGGGCCUUUUACUCUACGGGGAGGGAUCCGCUAUUUUACUCCAACCAUUCCAACGUGGACCACAUGUGGUCUAUAUAUAAAGAUAAGUUGGGGGGUACGGACAUAGAAAAGAUUGACUAGUUGGACACAGAGUUCUUGUUCUACGACGAGAAAAAGAAUCUCGUGCGCGUCAAGGUUCGGGACUCGCUUGACACGAAAAAACUCGGGUAUGUGUACGACAAGAAUGCCUCAAUUCCGUGGCUAGAGUUGAAGCCGACGGCUCAUAAGUCGACAAAUAAGAGAAAGGCCACUGUUUCAUCUUCUGAUCUUACUACAACGUUCCCUGUUACACUGUCGGAUACAAUCAGCGUCGAGGUGACGAGGCUGUCUGCGAUGAAGCGGACAGCUGCCCAGAAGAAGGCGCAUGACGAGGUGCUUGUGAUUAAAGGGAUUGAGUUUGCCUGGAAUGAGACUGUGAAGUUCGACGUGUAUGUGAAUAAUGACGCAGACUCGCUAGCCGAGAAAGACAAGUCGGAGUUUGCUGGGAGUUUUGUUCACGUGCCGCAUAAGCAUAAGAAAAAUAUUAAGAUGAACCUGCGGCUGAGCAUUACGAGCUUGUUGGAGGAAUGGGAUGCGGAGACAGACAUCAGUUUGGUGGUGACUUUGGUGCCAAAAGUUGGGAAGGGGCCAAUCACCAUCGAAGGGUUUAGCAUUGAGCUUAUUAAUACUACCUGAGUAUUCAUGUUAUUGUUGUUCUUGUUGUUGUUGUUGGGUUGGCUUAAUCGUGGUUUUCUAGCUAAUUAAUCUUAAACGUACGUAAUAUGCUCAUCUACUGCUUACGUGGCAGAUGAUGGUUGGUGUUCCUCGUGAAUAAAAGCACUAUUGUGUUUCAGUGUGUUUAUUUAUUGAAUAAAGAAUUGAUGGUGGAGUUUAAUCAUAGUUUUCCAGAAUUAUUGAUGGUAGAGUUCUUGAAAAAUUAAUGGACCGUAAUUGUGUGUAAAAUUGUUUAUAAAACUAGUACACUACUUUACUAUUAUUAUUAUUUGUGAUAAUGGAGAGGACUAACAAUUGAGUCAAAUUCUUGCGCAAAGAGAAAGAUAACAAACAUGUAAGCCAAAAAAGUGUAGGGGUAAAACCACAAUAAAGCUAAAUAUGUGGUAGCGACUAGCAUAAAAAGUUCUUUUUUUUUUUUUUUUGGAAGAAAGGUAAAUUUUAUAACAAAUAACUAUUUAGGGACUCUAACCUUCACCUUUAAGUACUCAUUUAAGUACUUAACUGAAAUCUUUAUCUUCUUAAAGGAAUAUUGCCUCCAAUUGGAGCGUCUUAUAGUAGAAUUCUUAAAUUUGAAGUUUUUAUGAUUUUAUAUAAUAAUUUGAUUACGUGCACAUUUUUUGUUUAUAUUAACCUUUUAUAAUUAAUUAAAAGCUUCAAUCAAAAUUGUAGGCCCCGUUUUCAACUCAAGGUACACAUUUUUGCUUAGGGUAUUACUAGAUAGACUAAAUUUGUAGACGGAUGAGUAGACACAUCCGUCGCCUACAUACCGUUGAGAUGGCACUAUCAAAAUCCAGCUAAGGCAAGAAACUCCGUGUCGUGGCUGCUCCACUCUGCAAAGACAAAACUUUGUAAACUAAAUGACAUGGAAGUUGAUGAUUGAUUAUUACUUAAGCGUUGAUAAAAAUUCUCAUUUCUAUUAGCGAUACAUCAUUUGGUUUGCAAAUUUUGUCUAUAAAUUUAGUCUCCUUAGCAUUUCCUUUUGUGGGUAAUGCUAGGGAGAUUAAAUUUGUAAACAAAAUUUGCAAACAAAAUUUGCAAACCAAAUGAUGUGUCAUCAAUAGGAAUGAACACAUUUAUCAACGCUUAAGUAAUAAUCUAAUCAUCAACUUAUAUAUCAUUUAAUUUAUAAAAUUUUGUUUACAGAUUUAGUCUCUCUAGUAUUACCCAAAAUACAAAAUAUACAAUAUUUGACACCCAUAUUUCGUUGACUAUUCAUUAAAUCAAGUGAUUCAUCCAUCAACUUUUACAACCACCUUUCCCUUUACUGACUUAUUCUUUAUAUAGUCACUACCUAGGUUAUCUUGCAAGUUAACUACUAACAACUUUCUCUAACAGACUUAAGGUUCAUUUGGAAGUAUUUUUAAAAUGACUGAAAACGCUUUUGAUAAAAUUGAUUUUGGGUUCCAAAAGAACUUUAAAUGCUUUUUGAAGAAGCACAAAAUAUGUGCUUCUUGCAGGAAGCACAUAAAGUGUUUUUCCAUUAUCUACUUAGAUUUUUACUAAGGAUUGGUUUCAUAAAUAUUUUCACUUAAAGAGAUUUCAGUUAUUUAAAAAAAAAUCCAAACGAGCCCUUAUCCACUUAGCAACUAUCUGUUAUCCUAGUUAUAGCACUUCUACAUCUCUGAUUCAACAUGCUGAGUCAGCAAUUACAUAGAAUCCUAUCACAUGGCCAUGUCUCCUUUUUUGUGUCUCUCAUUGUAAUAACUCUUUUGAGAAUUCAACAAAAAAAAUGAUAUAUAUUGUAGCACUUAAAUGGUAACUGGUUAGUAAGUUAGAAUGACAUUAUAUUUAACAUGAAUUGUUUACCAGGGAAGGAAGCUUAUCUGUUAGUUUCUUUUUUCUUAGACCAUCUCUAACUGAAGUGACUAAAUAUAGCUCAGUUAAAAAUUAUAACCCUGCAAGAAAUUAUUUUCUAUGAACAAUGCCAAAUUAUAUUCAUUAUUCAUAUACCAUUUCCAACUAAAGUGACUAAACAUAACCAUACUAAAAUAAAAAUAUCUUUAAAUUUAUUAAACAUAACUUCCUCAAUAAUUUUUUUAUUUUAUGUGUUAUUUAAAUUUAUUAAUUAAUUUAAUUAAAGUACUACAACUUAUACCAUAUUAAAGUAAAAAUAUCUUUUUCGGAUAUUAUCGCGAGACACAUGUCGAGCUCAUGGAACUAAUGUAACAACUAAAGCAUAUAUGUAUAUAUAAGAAUAUACAAUUUACAAGGACACAACAAAGACAAGAUUUGUAUUCAUUUCUGCCCGGAUGUGGUACUAAUUAAUUCCAAAAUCAAAACCAUACUCAUACAUACAAAGCCUUAGUUUUUACAAGAUUUUCUUCGGACCGGAUUAUUUACAAGGGUCACAACAAAAGAAAAAAAAUCUUCUUUUUUUUUUUUGGUAUUGCAAAAACAGUGCUAUUUACAAGGAAAUUAGGGUUUCAGUUAUGUUGGGGACCUUCAGACUCGAUUUCUUUAGCCAGUUCUUUUGUGAGCAUGUCAGCCCGGUCAUCAUGUCCACCAGCGAAUGUGUAAACCCUAAAAGCAAACUGAAAAGCCUUCCGCUGCAUUUUCACACAAAUCUUUUGUUUGCUUCUGAUCAGUUUUUGUUCCAGUCUUACCUGCGGCCUUUGCUUCUCUCCUUUCCUGCAUCAUUUAACAUUUCAAAGUCAAAACUCCCUUUUCAAAUCAUUGUUAUUUGUUUUUUAAAGUAGUUAAUUCUGAGUACUAACCUUUAGUGCCAUCUCCAUGCAGCUUGAGGAGACAUCCACCAUGGCUUCUUUGAUCCGGAUGAGGAUAUUAAAGUCGAAAUGGAUAUUCUGGCUCUGAAACUUCUUGGCUUCGUCGUCUUCAGUUCGUUCCAUCGUGUCUAUUUCUCCUUUUAUCUGUGUAUUACCUUUUUUUAUUAGUUAUGGAAAAUGGAAAGAGACAAUUAAGUUUUUUUAUAUAAGAAACGAUAGUGAAGACAAUUAAGUAAGCAGAGAUUAUAUUCACAUACCCCAAAUUAUUUCUCCCACAUCCUUUUAAAAUUUUUAAUAUUUUCUCACACCCACUAACACUUCCCACUAACACUUGAUAGAAAAAUAUUAAAAAAUUAAAAGGGUGUGAGAAAAGUAAUAGUAGUAAGUUUUUUAUAUAAGAAACGAUAGUGGAGACAAUUAAGUAAGUAAGAUUGUAUAAAAUGAACAUUUGUGCACCUUUAUCAAAGUAGCGUUCGGCCUUGUCAAGGAGCUGACCCAAUGGAACCACUAGUUUCCAGUUUUGUAGUUCAUUGAGCAUUGUAUUUAAAUUUGUGUGUAGUGCUGCUGCCAUCCUUAUUGCUUCCAACUUCUUUGUUGGGAACCCUUCAAACCUGGAGAGUACCUGCAAUUCAGAAAACGGCAUGUCACAAAACACGAUUAUGAAGUGAUCAUAGAAUUAGAAUGGAAAUGAACAAAACUAAAGCGGACAAUUAAUGGUAUUGACCUGUGACUCAUCAGUCAAGUGUUCAAGGACGGAUUCGACUUUCUUGUGAAACUGCAUCAACCCAUUCAUGUCUUUUGUUUUGAAAGAACCAUGAUUAAAUUCGGGCUGGGUCAAACUUAAUACAGAUGGUAGUGUAAGGGGAAUUGCGGGUAUUGCCACAGGAGGGGGUUUGCUUAGGGAUGACAGUGGAAGAUGGAUCAUGGGCUUUGGACUCAAUAUAGGAGGAGUAUGCCCUGUGACCGCAGCAGAACUUUGGGCUUUAUACCAUGGGCUGGAACUGGCCUGGGCUGAAGGCCUCAGGAAAAUCUCAGUGGCCGUGGAUUCCACCGCUUUGUAGAUUCUCCUUUCGGUAAAACCACUCAUUUCUUUUCCUUGUCGAAGCCAUUCUCUUCUUAUCUCAUUUCCGUGAUAGGCUUUGCAUACUUCUGAACAUCUUCUUCAGUUUGUUGAAAGUAUGCUGAUCUGAGACACAAAAAUUAGAAACAUUAUAUGCAUGGUUUUCGCAUUAUUUUGAGUACUUAGAUUACUUAUCCAUACAAUAAAUACCUCUUUGUAAUCUCUGCUAGAGCAUCAGCCAUUCCUUGUUUUCCACCAGAGCUGCUUCCAAUUCCACUCUUUCUCCCGUUGGAUGCCUUGCCAUCCAAGCUAGAUCCUUUCACCUUUCUCUUGAGAAGACGGUAGAGACUACCCAUCUGAGGUGAUCUCUUCAGUUAGUGUCUGUCUUGUGGCGCAAGGAUCUUCCUGUGCCGAGUGCGGGAGGUGGGGGUGGAGCAGCUCCAUUUGAUGGGCCUUUUAUCAUGGGUGGUGGCUGUGGAGGACCUCCAUUUGAUGAUCCUGGUGGAGGUGGUGGGGGUGGAGGACAGCCAAUUGACGGUCCUGGUGGAGGUGGUGGUGCUGGAGCUCCAUUUGAUGAUCCUGGCGGAGGUGAGAGUAGGGGUGGAACGACUUUUGUUGACCUUGGUAUCACUGGUGUUGGUGGAGGGGUUGGAUUUACUGACACUGGUCCUGGUUCCAUUGGUAGAGGCGGUGGGGGUGGUGGCCCCCUAACUGCUACUACAUUAUGUGGGGUUAAUGUUGGUGGUGGUGGAGUUGCUGUAACUUGUGGCCGCAUGGCGGGUAGUGAUGGUGGUGGCGGCGGUGGUGUUGCAACAUUUAGCUUCAAAGUGUGUAGUGGUGGUGGUGGAGGGGAUGUUGGUAUUCUUGUUGCUGUUUCUGUAUUGGACAGUGAAAGUUGUUGCGUUGGUGGAGGUGGAGGUGGAUGCGGAGGCGGAGGCGGAGGUGCUGAUUUUGGUUGUGGAAGUGUAGGUGAGGGUGAAAGCAAUGAUGCUCCUGUGGUGUCUGCUUCCAAUGCUUCAGAGGCCGUGGUUGGAGUUUCAACAUCAUCACUUGUGUUGUCGAUACCCUGUCCACUAGACUUCUCAUCCAAACUAAGAUUUGGGGCUACUACUUCCUCAUCUCAUCUGUUGCUGCAAUUGUCUUUUGAGGGUUGCUCUCUAAUUCUGUCCCAAUUGGUGGGUCUUCAAACAAAUUUUCAAUCUUGUCCAGGCCAUUGUUGGUACCAUGAGCUCCUUGUUUUGAUAAGUGAAGAGACAAGUUCUUAACAUCAAUCGGAUUUAGCUUCCCAACUGCUUGCACUCUCAGAGUCCAAAGUAAUGGUGAUUUGGAACCAAUGUUGGCCUUCUUUCGUGCUCUCGGAGAACCAUCAAUCUCGGGUAGGACAGAAGAUGGAGUGAUCGGAGAAGGACAGGUGGAACCUGAGGCGUAGCUCUCCGAAUCGCUCAAGAACUUCCCAAAUGAGCAAUUCCGAGGGCUGUAAUCUUCUCUUUUCUGGCCAUCCUCAUCCAUCAUAUCAAACUUGUCCAGUGCCAUCUUCAUCAAGCAAUCAAACGUUUCCAGCACCGUCUCAACUACAAAAUCGUAUAGAGAAUCAGCCUUAACUUAAAAUUUCACAAAUGGAAAUAACAAUUAGGCUGUUGCUUCCAUUUCCAAAUGGGAGGCCUCGACUAGUCCUCGAGAAAAAUUUGUAGCAUACCGAGUUCAUCCUGAUUGACAUUCUCCUUGGGUGAUGGGAAAUCAUAUCUCGGUUUGUCCAACCUGUCAUAACUUGUCAUCCAAGACUCUCCAAUAGAUUUCAAUGCCUUGCAGAAGGAGGCCAUGACCUGAUUGUGGAUGUUUAAUUUGAGAAAUUAGCUUAAUGGUCUCGAGUAUAAUUACAUAUGCGUACUAAGCCAUUUCUUAUGGAUCUUAAAUCCUUAAUUACCUUCUCUGUACAUGCUUCCUUUAUCUCCGACAAUUGUUUAUGCAGCACAAUUUCAGGGAAAAGCUUCUGUAGAUCUCCCAUCAACCUCAUUACCAUCUGCAAGCAGAAAAUAAUUGGAAAAUUAAACAAAUUGUGUUUUAAUCCUGAAAUUGAAGUACAAGAUUUCAACGGGAAAAAAGGAAAUGUUAUUAGCAAUCCAAAAAAUUCAUUCUGCGCUCCAUCUUUUAAUCUUCAUUAGGGAAGAGUGUACUAUAACAUGUUUAGAGUUCCUAUAAAAGCGCUUUGGAAAAAAUAAAAAAGGGGGCACAUACCUCAGUUAUUGCAGCAGAAGCAUCACAUGCUGGUAGGUCGAUGAUGCCUCUAAAGAUGGUGAUCUUCUUCCGGAGCUCAGUCAUCCGAACCUCAUUGGCUGAAUCUCCGCAAGACCUAUCUUUUGGCAUGCCUCCUCUCCUAGAAGCAUUCUUCUGUUUCACAGGCAGACUCUUGGUUGGCCCCCUUGGAGUCUUUCAUUGCCAGAAAGAACAACUCUAUUCAUGUUAACCAUUUUCUAGUCUACACCUUAUUGUGAAUCGAUUCAUUUUCAGUGAUUAUUUAUUUUAUGAACCUUAAUCAAAGAUUUAUGGCUGCAUUCAACAAACUUAAUCUAGACAAGAAACAAUGCUGCCAUGUUUCCAUUUAUAUAGAUUAUUAGCAUGCCUAGAUGUAGAUGGUCAGUUUUUACUCGACCUCAUCCUCAAUGUGACUAGGAUUCUCUCCAUUCCUCUUUCCAUCCUCUUUCAUCUCCUCCUCUUACAUUCUCUUACAUUCUCUUUCUCUUGCUAUAAAAAAUUAAUAUAAGAUGUUAACAUGGUUUAAUUGUGACCGUUCAAAUAGAAGAUGAGGGAAAAAAAUAAGGAAGAGAAUCCUACUCCCCUCAAUGGUGCUAUGAAUAAUAUGAAGUUUAAAAUAAUAAAGUUUUGUGAAAAAUUCUUGGUGACAGCCAAAUCGUAUAGAACAGAACCAAAUGCGCCCUCUGUGUGAAAUACAUUUUCAAAUAUGAACCACGGCUUUUUUCUUCUUCUUUCUUUUUCGAAAUAUAGCAACGGAUUUUCUUAGGAUACUCCUACAAUUCAUCUUUAGAAGAGACUAGUCAUUUAAAUUGAAGAAGCUAAAUCUGGAAAAGGACAAAAAAAGAAGGGGGCUGCAAAUCGAAGAAGCUGAAAAGAAAAGGAAAAAAGGCGUUAAGGGAGUAGCCAAAUAGCUUCGAAAGCAAUUCAAUAGUUGAUAACAACCCAUUUAAAUUGAACCCAAGAAGCUUCUACCAUUUAAAAUUCAACAAAACACAAUCUAUACAGUCGGAAAAAAACAAAAAAACGAUUCCAUAAGAUUCAGGAAAAAGAAUAAAAAUUAUAUACCUUGUUGAUAAAGAAAGAGCUUGCAAAGCUGCAGAUAAAAACUGGAAAAUUCGAGCAACAACUUUUGCUGCAACUAAAAAUCAAAGCAGUUCAGAAAAGUACACCCAAAGCUUGAAAAAAAUUAAAUCACACACAAUCAGAAAAAUAGAAAACUCACCAGUAAACGUUUGAUCGUAUUGUUAACUUUUCCUGAAAUCAAAAAUCAAAACACAUAAGAGAACUCACCACAAUCCAUAUAGUUGCAUAAAAAACUUGUAGAUGCAAGAUUAGAAGAACUCACCACAAAACUAUCCACUUUGAGACCAGCAGAGGCGAAGAGAGGGGAGAGCAAACGGCUACGGAAGAAGCGAAGCAAGAGAAGUGGGAAAAAAAUUGGGGAAUCAUUGCAGAAAGAAGAAAAGGAACCGGACAAAAAUGUUGAAGGGCAAAGUUGAAAUAACAAAAACGAAGCAAGGGCAUUUGGUCCGCACACUGCCCUAGAACAGUGGCACACGAGUUUGUAAUUUUAGUGGUGUUUACUCUGAAUCAAUACUUACCACGUGAUUAGAAAGUGAUUUGUUCAUCUAAUAUAAACUUGUCACAUGAUAAAAUAAUUGUACAAAAGAAUCUCUCUUUUCAUCGAGACCGGAAUUAUUGAAUUAUGAUAGGAAAAUUCUACGCAUGCUUUGAAACACAUCAAUCAGUCUAUACUAUUAACCACGUAUUUCUUCAUUGUUGGGGAAAUUCUACGUAGCAUGUUUUUCAUGAUUACAUUAUCUUUAACAUUCGUAAACAAAAUAGAGGUCUAGAUUCGCAGACUCGAUGCCUACCUAUUAUUUUUCAUUGAUUAUUGGUCAUGCUACUAGCUGACUAGGAAGAUCGACUCUCCCUUACUGUUAUUAAAAUUUCGAAAUUUUCUAAUUCUCAUUUGUUUUUGUUGCAUAAGGUUUUUUUUUUUUUGGUUAAUUGUUGCAUAAGUAAUUUGGCAUGUAUUUUUUAACAAUGUUGGAUGAGAAAUCUAAUGGUUUAAGAAUUAUAAAUAAGAAUUUAAAAAACAUUUAGUGACAUUAAAAAAAGUAUUUCUUUGUAAUUUUAGUGGUGUUUACUUUGAAUCAAUAUUUACCACGUGAUUAGAAAGUGAUUUAUUUAUCUAAUAUAAACUUGUCACAUGAUAAAAUAAUUGUACGAAAGAAUCUCUCUUUUCAUCGAGACCGGAAUUAUUGAAUUUAUGAGAUUUAAUUGCAAUGUGUCCAUUUUAUGUGCGGUAGUUGUUGAUUUUUGCGCGGCGGGUUCGAAUCAUAUAAACCUAUAAAUAAAGAUUAAAUUGCAAUGUUUGUAUGACAUUUAAAUUAGUCUGGACUUGUAGUUUAGAAGUAAUGUUUCUAACAUGGUGUAUGAAACUUAAAUAUCCCAUAUAUUUUUUUCAUCCACUGUAUAAAAAAUGAAAAUACAUGUGUUAAUCACUUAUACAAUACAUCCAAACGAGAAUAAGAAAAUUUCAGAAUUUGAAUAAAAAAUUAUGGGAGAGUCAAUAUGCACAUGAUUUUUGCUUUAGUACCGUGGGAUAAUAGCUUACCGUAAGCAAAAACACAAAAUAUAAAUUAUAAAUAUAAUAGAAGGAUAACUGGAAUCGCUCCGGGGGUCUCUCACCCGUCCUUGACCUCUUACCAAGAAUUUUGGCUUCUAUCCCAUCCCAGGGCUAGAAUUUUAAUCUCUGGAAGGCAAAGCUUUUCUAUUCAACUCUUCAUUGUUUGUUAAUCUGAAUUACAAGGGAUGUUUAUAAAGCCUAAAAAUGACCGCAUGAAGGUAAACUUAUUAUAGUAAAGAAAUCCUAAUCCAAAAUAAAAUAGGACACUAUAUCUAAUCCUAAUUAAACUGGAAAGAAUUAUAGAGCUCGUUGGAAGUGAUUUUAAAAGCUGAUAGUGUUUUUGGUGAAAAUGAUUUAGGAACCAAUGCUUAGUAAAAAUGCAAGUAAAUUCUAAAAAAAAAACACUUAGUGUUUCCUUAAAAAAACAUAUAACCGGUGGUUCUUAUAAUAAGCACUUCAAGUGCUUUUGAAAUCCAAAAAUAUUUUAUCUAAAAACGUUUUUAAUCAUUUUAAAAGUACUUUGAAAUCAACCUUUAAUUCUUAUAAACUAAGCAAUCAUAAAACUACCCCCUAGAUAUUAAAAUACUAAGGACUAAAGACUAAAAAGGCUAAAAUACCCUUUAAUUUAGGAAGUCACCACUCUUGUUCCACGUGACUUAGCUAUUACUAAUUUACUAUCACCAGUAAUUGAUGAAAGAUAACAUCAAAAUAGAGAGGCAUAUAGAGUCAGCAAAUCUAGAACCUCUCUUUUUCAUGCAAAUUUUCCUCAUCGACGAAGAAAAAUGUGCUAUAUAUUUUUUAUUCAUGUGUUUCAAAAGUGGAUGGUCUCUUCCGUAAGGUGGUGAACUUAAAGAAAUUUGAGGUUGUAUUGUAAAAUUAAUUAGUAAAUAGAGAGUGGUUUAAUUCUUUAUAAGCUCUUGUAUGAUUUGAUUUCUCACCGAUGUGAGACUUUGUCUUUACAUUCUUACACUAUUCUCGCACGUGGCAAAUUUUAAAACCUAACAUGCGGACAAUACAAAUUGGGUGACGUGGAACAUGUGUAGCCAUUGGACUUCACACGUGGGCUAAUAUGAAGAUUAGUCUAACUCUUCAUAAGCCCUUGCAUGAUUUGGUUAAUCACUGAUGUGGGACUUUGUUCUCACAUUCUCACACGCUCCAUCAUGUGUGGCGAAUAUUCAAACCUAACAUAUGAACAAUACAUAAAAUCUCAAUUUUCUACAAAGUAUCAGAGUUGGUUGAAUCAGAUGUUUAAUUAUUCUUUCGUAGUAUGAAGUCAAUUGAACUACGUGUUUGAUAUGUAAGGAUGUAAAUGUUGAUCCACAUCAAAAAGUUAAGAGACCGUUUACGAUUUUAAUUUGUCCUGAAAGAUGCAUUUCACCACUUGAUGUAGCUCGUAUGGGAAGCCUAACUUUUUUUUUUUUUUUUUUUUUUUUUCUCGCAAUAUAGAUUGUUAACUUUUUCUUUUAAUUUGAGGGAUUCUCCUUGUCUUAAUGAUGUUGACAUCAGAGUGGUAUGGUUCAUGAAUCUUGACUAAGAAAACCCUGCAUUCAUACACACAUUUUUAGUGUGCGGUCCCGCCAAUUUCAACUAUAAAAACAUCACAAUCCCCUUUCCUUCUUAAUUGCAGAGUGGAAAGGAAAACCAAUUCAGCCAUGUCUUCAUCUCCCUUACCAACUUCUACAAUGGCCACCCUGCACUCCACCACAACCACCCUCUUCCGCUCUCCUUUAUUCCCAAACAAGUCCCAGACUCCACUGCAACGAAAACCCAAACAAUGCCUUGCGGGUAGAGUGCGCUGCAAAACAACAAAAGGUGACAAUGAUAACCUAGAUCAGGGCCUAGCAAGACUCGACAGGAGGAACAUGCUGAUAGGUUUAGGCGCCGGGGGUCUCUACGGUGCGGUAGGAAACCCAUUUGCUUUUGCCGCACCAGUAUCCGCCCCAGACUUGACCACGUGUGGCCCUGCCAACAAGCCAGACGGGUCCACCAUCGAUUGUUGCCCACCUACCACCACGACCAUCAUCGACUUUGAACUCCCUGACUCAGGCCCACUCCGCACUAGGCCCGCUGCUCAGGACGUUGCAAAUGACCCUGAAUACUUGGCCAAAUACAAAAAGGCCGUCGAGCUGAUGCGGGCACUUCCAGACGACGACCCGCGCAGUCACGCACAACAGGCGAUGGUACACUGCUCAUACUGCGACGGUGGAUACCCACAAGUCGGAUAUUCGGAUUUGGAGAUCCAAGUUCACUAUUGUUGGCUCUUCUUCCCGUUCCAUCGUUGGUACCUCUAUUUCUACGAGAAAAUCAUGGGCGAGCUCAUUGGGGACCCAACCUUCGCCCUUCCGUUCUGGAAUUGGGACGCGCCAGCUGGCAUGUACAUUCCUGAGAUUUUCAUUGAUACGUCAUCAUCCCUCUACGACCAGUACAGAAAUGCAGCGCAUCAGCCCCCAAAGCUCCUGGACUUGAAUUAUGGCGGGACUGACGAUGACGUCGAUGACGCGACACGAAUCAAAGAAAACCUAACAACGAUGUACAAGCAGAUGGUGUCGAAUGCCACUUCUCACAGACUCUUCUACGGAGAGCCCUAUAGCGCAGGGGACGAACCAAGUCCUGGUGCCGGAAACAUUGAGACCACUCCCCAUAACAAUAUUCACCUUUGGGCUGGUGACCCAACCCAGACAAACGGGGAGGACAUGGGGACAUUUUACUCUGCGGCGAGGGAUCCGCUGUUUUACUCUCACCAUUCCAACGUGGACCGCAUGUGGUCUAUAUAUAAAGAUAAGUUGGGUGGUACGGACAUAGAAAAUACCGAUUGGCUGGACGCAGAGUUCUUGUUUUACGACGAGAAAAAGAAUCUCGUGCGCGUCAAGGUUCGGGACUCGCUCGACACGAAAAAACUCGGGUAUGUGUACGACGAGAAUGUCUCGAUCCCAUGGCUGGAGUCAAAGCCGACGACUCGUAAGUCAACAAAUAAGAGAAAGGCUGCGGUUUCAUCUUCUGAUCUUUCUACAACGUUCCCUGCUACACUAUCAGAUAUAAUCAGCGUCGAGGUGACGAGGCCGUCUACGACGAAACGGACAGCUGCCCAGAAGAAGGCGCAGGAGGUGCUGGUGAUUAAGGGGAUUGAGUUUGCCGGGAAUGAAACUGUGAAGUUCGACGUGUAUGUGAACGAUGAUGCGGACUCACUGGCCGGGAAAGACAAGUCGGAGUUUGCUGGGAGUUUUGUUCACGUGCCGCAUAAGCAUAAGAAGAAUAUUAAGACAAACCUGCGGCUGAGCAUUACAAGCUUGUUGGAAGAGUUGGAUGCGGAGACAGACAACAGUUUGGUAGUGACUUUGGUGCCGAAAGUUGGGAAGGGGCCAAUCACCAUCGGAGGGUUUAGCAUUGAGCUCAUUAAUACUACCUGAGUAUUAAUUAAUGUUAUUGUUGGUUCUUCUUGUUGUUGUUGGGUUGGCUUAAUCAUGUUUUUCUAGCUAAUUACUCCUGAACGUUCGUAAUGUGCUCAUCUACUGCUUAUGUGGCAGAUGAUGGUUGGUGUUCCUCGUGAAUAAAAGCACUAUUGUGUUUCGGUGUGUUUAUUUAUUGAAUAAAGAAUUGAUGGUAGAGUUUAAUCAUAAUUUUCUAGAACUAAUGAUGGUACACUACUUUAAUAUUAUUGUUAUUUGUGAUAAUGGAGGACUGACAAUUGAGUCAUAAUCUUGCGCAAAGAGAAAAGAUAACAAACAUGUAAGCCAAAAAAGUGUAGGGGUAAAACAACUAUAAAGCUAAAUAUGUGGUAGUGACUAGCAUAAAAAGUUUUUUUAUUUUUUAUUUUUGGAAGAAAGGUAAAUUUUAUAACAAAGAACACUAACUUACAUAGAAAAUACCCACAUACAAAUAGAUACAAAGCAAAAAUGGACCUCCCAAGCUAACCAAAAAGGGCCCAACCAAGAGGCCCAAACCAAAAACAAAUCGAAAGAAAAUUCGAGAAGCCUGCUACCACUGCUGCAACAUUGCGUCACGAUCAACCUGAUUCGGCUCCCCCAAUAGACACCUAAAACCCAACCAUGCAGCAACACACUCAUUUUCGGUGUGAUGUAAUCGAAUCCAACGUGAUACAACCCUUACGCGGCUGCUUACUCAAUGUAACAGUAACUGGUAUAUUUCAUUACAAUAUCAACUUUUACAACAACCUUUCCUUUUACAGACUUAUUCUUUAUAUAGUCACUACCUAGCUUAUCCUGCAAGUUAACUACUAACAACCUUCUCUAACAGACUUAAGGCUCGUUUGGAAGUACUUAAAAAUGACAAAAAACGUUUUUGGUACAAUUGAUUUUGGGUUUCAAAAGCACUUUAAGUGCUUUUUGAAGAAGCACCAGAUAUGCGCUUCUUGCAAGAAGCGCAUAAAGUGAUUUUUCAUGAUCCACUUAGAUUUUUACUAAGGAUUGGUUUCAUAAACAUUUUCACUAAAAACGCUUUCAAUCAUUUAAAAAACACUAUCAAACAAGCCCUUAUCCACUUAGCAACUAUCUGUUACCCUAGUUAGCCCAUCCACUUCACUGAUUCUAUAUGCUGAGUCAGCAAUUACAUAGAAUCCUAUUAUAGAGCCAAGAUAUGCUGUCUCCUUUUUUGUGUCUCUCAUUGUAGUAACUCUUUGAGAAUCAAUAAAAAAAUGAUAUAUAUUGUAGCACUUAAAUGGUAACUGGUUAGUAAGUUAGAAUGACAUUAUAUUUAACGUGAAUUAUUUACCAGGAAGAGAAGCUUCUCUGUUAGUUUCUUUUUUCUUAAGCCUCUCUAACUGAAGUGGCUAAGUAUAGCCCAGUUCAAAAUUAUAACCCUCCAAGAAAUUAUUUUUUAUUAACAGUAUCAGAUCAUAUUCAUUAUUCAUAUACCAUUUCCAACCAAAACGGCUAAACAUAACUCUUUCAAUAAUUUAUUAAUUUUAUGUUUUCUUUAAAUUUAUUAAAAAAAUAUCUUUUUCGGAUAUAAUCGCGAGACACAUGUCAAGCUCAUGGAACUAAUGUAACAACUAAUACAUAUAUGUAUAUAUAAGAAAAUACAAUUUACAAGGACACAACAAAGACAAGAUCGUAUUCAUUUGCCUGGAUGUGGUACUAAUUAAUUCCAAAAUCAAAACCAUACUCAUACAUACAAAGCCUAAUUUUUUACAAGAUUUCUUUGGACCGGAUUAUUUACAAAGGUCACAACAAAAGAAUAAAAAUCUUUUUUUUUUUUGGUAUUGCAAAAACAGUGCUAUUUACAAGGAAAUUAGGGUUUCAGUUGUGUUGGGGACCAUCAGACUCGAUUUCAUUAGCCAGUUCUUUUGUGAGCAUGUCAGCCCGAUCAUCAUGUCCACCAGCGAAUGUGUAAACCCUAAAAGCAAACUGAAAAGCCUUCCACAGCAUUUUCACACAAAUCUUUGUUUGCUUCUGAUCAGUUUUUGUUCCAGUCUUACCUGCGGCCUUUGCUUCUCUCCUUUCCUGCAUCAUUUAACAUUUCAAAGUCAAACUCUCUUUUUCAAAUCAUUGUUAUUUGUUUUUUAAAGUAGUUAAUUCUGAGUACUAACCUUUAGUGCCAUCUCCAUGCAGCUUGAGGAGACAUCCACCAUGGCUUCUUUGAUCCGGAUGAGGAUAUUAAAGUCGAAAUGGAUAUUCUGGCUCUGAAACUUCUUGGCUUCGUCGUCUUUAGUUCGUUCCAUCGUGUCUAUUUUCCCUUUUAUCUGUGUAUUACCUUUUUUUAUUAGUUAUGGAAAAUGGAAAGAGACAAUUAAGUAAGUUUUUUAUAUAUAUAAGAAAUGAUAGUGAAGACAACUAAGUAAGGAGAGAUUAUAUUCACACACCCCAAAUUAUUUCUCCUACACUCUUUUAAUUUUUUUAAUAUUUUCUACACACCACUAACUCUUGAUAUAAAAAUAUUAAAAAAUUAAAAGAGCGUGGGGAAAGUAAUAGUAGUAAGUUUUUUAUAUAAGAAACGAUAGUGAAGACAAUUAAGUAAGAUUGUAUAAAUGAACAUUUGUGCACCUUAUCGAAGCAGCGUUCGGCCUUGUCAAGGAGCUGACCCAAUGGAACCACUAGUUUCCAGUUUUGUAGUUCAUUGAGCAUUGUAUUUAAAUUUGUGUGUAAUGCUGCUGCCAUCCUGAUUGCUUCCAACUUCUUUGUUGGGAACCCUUCAAACCGUGAGAGCACCUGCAAUUCAGAAAAUGGCGUGUCACAAAACACGAUUAUGAAGUGAUCAUAGAAUUAGAAUGGAAACGAACAAAAAUAAAGCGGACAAUUAAUGGUAUUGACCUGUGACUCAUCAGUCAAGUGUUCAAGGACGGAUUCGACUUUCUUGUGAAACUGCAUCAACUCAUUCAUGUCUUUUGUUUUGAAAGAACCAAGGGUGGUUCUCAUUUCCAUGAUAGGCUUCGCAUACUUCUGAACAUCUUCUUCAAUUUGUUGAAAGUAUGCUGAUCUGAGACACAAAAAUUAGAAACAUUAUAUGCAUGGUUUUCGCAUUAUUUUGAGUACUUAUUAGAAACAUUAUAUGCAUGGUUUUCGCAUUAUUUUGAGUACUUAGAUUACUUAUCCAUACUAUAAGGACCUCUUUGUAAUCUCUGCUAGAGCAUCAGCCAUUCCUUGUUUUCCACCAGAGCUGCUUCCAAUUCCACCCUUUCUCCCAUUGGAUGCCUUGCCAUCCAAGCUAGAUCCUUCCACCUUUCUCUUGAGAAGGCGGUAGAGACUACCCAUCUGAGGUGAUCUCUUCAGCUUAGUGUCUUUCUUGGGGCGCAAGGAUCUUCCUGUGCCGAGUGCGGGAGGUGGGGGUGGAGCAGCUCCAUUUGAUGGGCCUUUUUACAUGGGUGGUGGCGGUGGAGCACCUCCAUUUGAUGGCCCUUUUAACAUGGGUGGUGGGGGUGGAGGACUGCCAAUUGACGGUCCUGGUGGAGGUGGUGGUGCUGGAGCUCCAUUUGAUGAUCCUUGAGGAGGUGGGGGUAGGGGUGGAACCACUUUUGUUGACCUUGGUAUCACUGGUGUUGGUGGAGGGGUUAGAUUUACUGACACUGGCCCUGGUUCCAUUGGUUGAGGCGGUGGGGGUGGUGGCCCCCCAACUGCUGCUACAUUAUGUGGGGUUCAUGUUGGUGGUGGUGGAGGAGUUGCUGCAAUUUGUGGCUGCAUGGCGGGUAGUGAUGGUGAUGGCGGCAGUGGUGUUGCAACAUUUAGCUUCAAAGUGUGUAGUGGUGGUGGUGGAGGGAAUGUUGGUAUUCUUGUUGCUGCUUCUGUAUUGGGCAGUGAAAGUUGUUGCGUUGUUGGAGGUGGAGGUGGAGGUGGAGGUGGAGGCAGAGGCGCUGAUUUUGGUUGUGGAAGUGUAGGUGAGGGUGAAAGCAAUGAUACUCUGGUGUCUGCUUCCAAUGUUUCAGAGGCUGUGGUUGGAGUUUCAACAUCAUCACUUGUGUUGUCGAUACCCUUUCCACAAGACUUCUCAUUCAAACUAAGAUUUGGGGCUACUACUUCCUCAUCUGUUGCUGCAAUUGUCUUUUGAGUGGUUCUCUCUAAUUCUGUCCCAAUUGAUGGUUCUUCAAACAAAUUUUCAAUCUUGUCCAGACCAUUGUUGGUGCCAUGAGCUCCUUGUUUUGAUAAGUGAAGAGACAAGUUCUUAACAUCAAUCAGAUUUAGCUUCCCAACUGCUUGCACUCUCAGAGUCCAAAGCAAUGGUGAUUUGGAACCAAUGUUGGCUCUCUUUUGUGCUCUUGGAGAACCAUCAAUCUCGGGUAGGACAGAAGAUGGAGUGAUCGGAGAAGAACAGGUGGAACCUGAGGCGUAGCUCUCUGAAUCGCUCAAGAACUUCCCAAAUGAGCUAUUCCGAAGGCUGUAAUCUUCUCUUUUCUGGUCAUCCUCAUCCAUCAUAUCAAACUUGUCCCGUGCCAUCUUCAUCAAGCAAUCAAGCGUUUCCAGCACCGUCUCAACUACAAAAUCGUAGAGAGAACCAGCCUUAACUCAAAAUUUCACAGAAGGAAAUAACAGUUAGGUUGUUGCUUCCAUUUCCAAAUGGAAGGCCUCAACUAGUCCUAGAGAAAAAUUUGUAGCAUACCGAGUUCAUCCUGAUUGACAUUCUCCUUGAGUGAUGGGAAAUCAUAUCUCGGUUUGUCCAACCUGUCAUAACUUGUCAUCCAAGACUCUCCAAUAGAUUUCAAUGCCUUGCAGAAGGAGGCAGGACCUGAAUGCCGUUGUUUAAUUUGAAAAAUUAGCAUAAUGGUCUCGAGUAUAAUUACAUAUGCGUACUAAGCUAUUUCUUAUGGAUCUUAAAUCCUUAAUUACCUUUUUUGUUCCAAAAAAAAUAAAAUUCCUUAUUUACCUUUUCUAUAGAUGCUUCCUCUAUUUCCGAUAAUUGUUUAUGCAGCACAAUUUCAGGGAAAAGCUUCUGUAGAUCUCCCAUCAACCUCAUUACCAUCUGCAAGCAGAAAAUAAUUGGAAAAUUAAAAAAAUUGUGUUUUAAUCCAGAAAUUUAAGCACAAGAUUUCAACAGAAAAAAGAGAAAUUUUAUUAGCAAUCCAAAAAAUUCAUUUUGCACUCCAUUUUUUAAUCUUCAUUAGGGAAAAGUACUAUAACAUUUUUAGAGUUCCUAUAAAAAAUAAAAAAAGGGACACAUACCUCAGUUAUUGCAGCAGAAGCAUCACAUGCUGGUAGGUCGAUGAUGUCUCUGAAGAUGGUGAUCUUCUUCCGGAGUUCGGUCAUCCGAAUCUCGUUGGCUGAAUCUCCGCAAGACCUAUCUUUUGGCACGCCUCUCCCAGAAGCGUUCUUCUGUUUCGCAGGCAGACUCUUAGCCCCCUUGGUGUCUUUCAUUGCCUGAAAGAACAACUCUAUUCAUGUUAAUUAACUAUUUUCUAGUCUAGACCUUAUUGUGAAUCGAUUCCUUUUCAGUGAUUAUUUAAUUUAUGAACCUUAAUCAAAGAUUUAUGGCUGCAUGCAACAAACUUAAUCUAGACAAGAAACAAUGCUGCCAUGUUUCCUUUUAUAUAGAUUAUUAGCAUGCCUAGAUGUAGAUGGUUAGUUUUUAUUAGCAGCUAGAUUUAAGGAUGAUGGGUCACAUAAAUCGGACAUGUUUAAGGAAUUAAACAUGGAAACACAAAACUGUACCUUAAUUCCAGAAGGUUUACGACGAAACAAUGGACUGAAACAGCUUCCGAUAGUCAUGGCUUGAACCUACGCUGAGAUUUGUAAUAGACUUGAACUGGGCAAAAGUGAUGGUGAUGAUGAUGAAAGAAUGACGAAGAAAACGACAACGACGAAGCCAAAGACGAUGGUGAUGAUGAUAAUAUUGUUAAAUGAUCAUACAAUUGGGUGUCAACCAUUACUAGCCAGCACACCCUUAAAGCUUAAUGUGGUUUUGAAAACAACUCCAGAAUGUAAAAAUUGUAAUGUGUUCAACAACAAGAAGAGAACUGUUCAAAAAAUUCAACUUAUUUGAAAAAGAAAAUGAGAUGAAGACACAAUUACGUGCGAGACACUUAGUUUUUUGUGUUAAUUAGUCUGUACAAGAAACUGGAAAAAUCCAUUUCUUUUCUUUCAGCCAGCCUUUGAACUUUCUCUGAAAAGAGAAGACAAGGAAAGACAAAAGGGCAAAUUCCCUUCUAUUAAGGAAGAUCUUCCAGUAGGCUGAAGCUGUAUCAGACCUAAAGUUUCCUCUUUUUUCUUUUUCCAUUUUUCUAUUUUAUUUUUAAUUAGGCGUUUUACUUAAUUAAUUAAUGAAUUACCUGUUUAGUUAUCUAAAUCGUGCAUGCAAUGAUUGCAGGAACUGGUCCUAGAUUUUUAUUGCUUGCAGCUAUUUAUAGAAUGAUACAGCUUCUCACUUGUGUAAGAUGAGGUUAUGGUUGCAAUACCGUUGUACCAGAAAAUUUUAAAUUUUCAAAUUUUAUCUUCUGUGUCGAUUAUCCAUUUAAACAAACUUGAUACCAUAAUAAACAAAUUGCAUUCUAAUCAAAAGUUUUGUUUGAAAAAGUCCAUAUUAUAAUAGUAACCCUACAUGAUUGAUGUUAAUGUCAUACCUAAAACUUUUUUCUAAUUUUACAGGAUGUAAAAAUAUAUAUUUUUUCGUUUAACUUUUCUAAGAGAGGUUUUUAAUUAAAAUAUUAUCUGAAAUAUCCAACACAUCUUACUAGGUCAAAAUAAAAAUAGAUAAAAGUCAAAUAAAUAGUAGCUAAGGUCUUGAUUACCUAUCACCUCCUGCAAAAUAGCUUGCUUAAAUGUAAAAUCUAAAAGUCUUGCUUACAUACAAAAGUUACUCCGUGACAGACAAAUACUACAAAAAGAUCACCCAAAAAACAUGGUGUUAUUAGUCAACGUUCAUACCUAAUACCCCAUUUGACGAUUAGAAAGUUGGAACCUGGACAAUUUCUAUCCGCUUCUUUUCACCAAAUUUGGGCAAUGAAGCCUUCAUAUACUAGGUCGUUUGCCUUGGUCAAACUGAGAGUCCCUGGUAGCCUGGGCAAUGAAGCCUUCAUAUGCUAGGUCGUUUGCCUUGGUCAAACUGAGAGUCCCUGGUAGCCUGGGCAAUGAAGCCUUCAUAUACUAGGUCGUUUGCCUUGGUCAAACUGAUAGUCCCUGGUAGCCUUUGCAAAGGAAGAUGAUAUUGUAAUUUCACCAUAUAUAAAGAGGGCCAAGUUUGUUCGUGUAGUUUGUAUAGAGUGUAGCUAUAAACACUUCAACCUAUUUGGUGAAAAAUCCAAGUGCGACCUUGGACUGCAUGGACAAGGGAAAUUCUAAAGUCCAAUUAGGGUUAUAUUUUCUUUGAGUUACGUAAUUAGGAAGACACUCACGUAGAAAUACUUGAAUUUAGAUGGCAACAACAUUCAAUAUAUGGAGAAGAAUAUAUAGACAUUGUGCAUCAGCCUAUCGUAUGGCAACAACAUUCAAUAUAUGGACAAAAAUGUUGAAGGGCAAAGUUGAAAUAACAAAAACGAAGCAAGGGCAUUUGGUCCGCACACUGCCCUAGAACAGUGGCACACGAGUUUGUAAUUUUAGUGGUGUUUACUCUGAAUCAAUACUUACCACGUGAUUAGAAAGUGAUUUGUUCAUCUAAUAUAAACUUGUCACAUGAUAAAAUAAUUGUACGAAAGAAUCCCUCUUUUCAUCGAGACCGGAAUUAUUGAAUUAUGAUAGGAAAAUUCUACGCAUGCUUUGAAACACAUCAAUCAGUCUAUAUUAUUAACCACAUAUUUCUUCAUCGAUGGAGAAAUUAUACGUAGCAUGCUUUUCACGACUACGUUAUCUUUAACAUUCGUAAACAAAACAGAGGUCUAGAUUCACAGACUCGAUGCCUACCUAUUAUUUUUCAUUGAUUAUUGGUCAUACUACUAGCUGACUAGGAAGAUCGACUCUCCCUUACUGUUAUUAAAAUUUCGAAAUUUUCUAAUUCUCAUUUGUUUUUGUUGCAUAAGGUUUUUUUUUUUUUUUGGUUAAUUGUUGCAUAAGUAAUUUGGCAUGUAUUUUUUAACAAUGUUGGAUGAGAAAUCUAAUGGUUUAAGAAUUAUAAAUAAGAAAUUAAAAAACAUUUGUGACAUUAAAAAAAAGUAUUUCUUUGUAAUUUUAGUGGUGUUUACUUUGAAUCAAUACUUACCACGUGAUUAGAAAGUGAUUUAUUUAUCUAAUAUAAACUUGUCACAUGAUAAAAUAAUGGAGAAAUUAGGUUCUCAUCCCUCUUUUGACUACUUCAUUGAUUAAAAUCUUAUUCCUUUUCAAUUUUUGAUCAAGGUCUUUGGGUAUUAAUAACAUCAUUAAUUAUUUCAAUAAUAAAAUAUUUUUUUUUAUUUCUAAAUAUAUUCAUUUAAUGUUAAAAAUGUUACAAUUAGUAUAUUUAUAUUUAUGACUAAGUUUUUUUAUCAGAUAUUUUUAGUUUUAGUUUGUACCCAUUUUUAAUUUGUAAUUCUUUUUUAAUUUGUACCAAUUUUCUUUUUAGUUUUAAUUUGUACCCAUAUAUUAAUUUCUUUUUGUGCCCAUAUUUUUUAAAGUUUAUUUGUAUUUGUACCCAUAUUUUUUUUUAUUUGUACUUUUUAUUUUGCUAAAUGUACUCGUGCUAAUUAUAUGCACCCAUUCAUAUAAAACUUUUAAAUCUAAAAAUGUACUCAUUCUUAAAUAUAUCAAUUUGUUAUAUGUAAAAUGUACCUUUUUUUUAUAUAAAAUCUAUUCAAUUUUUUUUAAUCCAUUUUUAAACUUAUAUGGGUACAUUAAUUCUUUUUUCUUUGAUUUUAAAAUGUAUCCAUGUCAAGUUUAAUCUAAGAAAUUUACUAAUGUUAUUAAGCCUAAUAUCUUCUCCUUCUUCUUUUUUUUUUUGUGAUUUUGAAGAAUGUACCCAUGUUUUGAUACAAUAAUUUUUUUGGAUAAUUUUGAUGAAUGUACCCAUGUUUAUAUAUACACACACACACACAAUAGUAUAUUUAUAUUUUAAUAUUUUUAAUCCCACAAAUUAUGGUUUUAUAUUUAAAAUCUCAUUUAUAUAAACCACUAAAUUUUCUAAUUUUUAAUUUAAAAAAUAUAGUAACGUACAUAGAAAUAAAUUAUCACAUUAAUUUCAGGGACGUCGAUCAAAAAUUAAAAACCAACAAGGUUUUAAUAAAAGAAUAUUCAUAGUUAAGGACCAUAUCCAAAGUUUCCCUAAAAUAAUUGUACAAAAGAAUCUCUCUUUUCAUCGAGACCGGAAUUAUUGAAUUUAUGAUAGGAAAAUUCUACCAUGCUUUGAAACACAUCAAUCAAUCUAUACUAUUAACCACAUAUUUCUUCAUCGAUGGGGAAAUUCUACGUAGCAUGCUUUUCACAAUUACAUUAUCUUUAACAUUCGUAAACAAAACAGAGGUCUAGAUUCGCAGACUCGAUGCCUACCUAUUAUUUUUCAUCGAUUAUUGGUCAUACUACUAGUUGACUAGGAAGAUCGACUCUCCUUUACUGUUAUUAAAAUUUCAAAAUUUUCUAAUUCUCAUUUGUUUUUGUUGCAUAAGGUUUUUUUUUUUGGUUAAUUGUUGCAUAAGUAAUUUGGCAUGUAUUUUUUAACAAUGUUGGAUGAGAAAUCUAAUGGUUUAAGAAUUAUAAAUAAGAAAUUAAAAAACAUUUAGUGACAUUAAAUAAAGUAUUUAUUUAUAAAACUAUUAAAUUCCUCUUUUCACAUUUUCCUUACUUGUUGUGUGUCUACUGUCUACAACCCAUUCGACCUUGAACCUAAUUUAAUUGUGUAUCAAAUGGCAGGUUGGUGUUUUUUGUAAAAUCGUAUUUGUCUAUUUUUCUUUACUAUAAAAAAAAUGUCUUAAUAGUUUAGAUAUUUUUUUUUUAAAGGAAACGAUAAGAGAUUAAUUGAUUGAAAACGUCAUUACAUGGUUUGAAGUACAAGAAGCCCCAUUAAGGCAGCACACAUUGUUCUAAUAGUAAGUCAGAAAUGAACAAAGGAGGAGACUCAGCACAUUCACACUCCUGGCUCAAAGAGAGACAAAACGUGCUAGCCUAUGGACAAUAGAGUUAGCUUGACGGUGAGUAUGGUAAGAAUAGCAUCAGUGCUUGAUGGGAGUAGCACCUUGAUAUCUGUCAUAAUUUGUUCAACUGAGAAUAGAUUGAUAGACGAUACGAUGUGGGUGGCAAAGUGUGUGUCAAAAAAUGGAUGUCCCAAGAUGCUAACGAUAUGACACACACUUUGUAGGGCUCAUUCCAUAACAUUUUUAAGAAUUUGAAUCAUCUAUAUUUCAAUUCAUCAUUCAUAUAUGUCCUUGCCAAAAAUUAAAAAGAUCCAAAAUCAUUAAAACAUUAAUUUGUAAGGAAGAAAAUACAGAUGGGCGUCACAACCCCCCCCCCCUCGUUGGUUCUUGUUCUGGCUCGAGAUGGGUUUCCUUGCCCCCUUGUAAUUAGGUUUUUUUUUUUUUUUUUGGAUGGCUUUGCGCCAUCCUUUUGUGCCUUUUGAGGCUUGAUUGUGAUUUCCUAUUUCUUCUGAGAGUUUAAAUGUAUUAAGUCCUUGAACAUAGGAUAUCAUGGUCUAUGUUUAGUUAUGUUUCUUGGAGUACUUGUUCUGUUUUAAUACAAUGACCUCUUUCUGAAUUAAAAAAAAAAAAAAAUUGACUUUGCCAAUUUUUCCCCAAUCAAACAUUUAACACACUUAACUGGCCUUCUACCAUAGUGAUGAAAGAAGUGUUACCUUUACACUACUACAUGAGUUCGAAUUCCGUUGGCUCUCUUAUUUAAUAAAUCUAUCUUUUGAUAUAUAAAAAAAUAAAAAAACUCAAAAUGCAAAUGAGUUGUGCAUCAUAGUAUUAGAUAAUGUUGUAUAAUUCAACAGACAACUGUUUUUUUUUUUUUGUUAUGAAAAAGCAAUAGAGAAUUAGGUAAAUACGAUGUAAAACAUUUCUACUCAAGAGGCAGAUUGUCUGCCCCUUGUUUGGAUGCCCUUUUUAUUCCCUCAUAUUUUAUGCGGUCACAGUUAAUACACGUCAAUAUUUUAUAUUAAUUUUUUUAUAGAGAUAAUAAGAUAAAAAACAAUAAGAAUAUAUAAUAUUGACAUAACUUACUGUUUAACCAUGACCGCACAAAUAAAAAAGGAUGGGUAGAGCAUCCAAAUAGGAAGACAGACAAUCUGCUUCUUUCUACUCAUCUUCUAAGUGUCAUGUCAUAUAAUGGCAUGUGAUAAAUGCAUGACCCACCACAUGAAUAAAUAGUCCUCAAAACACGGCACGUGGAAAUGAUUUAGCUAGUGACCACCAAGAUUAUAUUCUUCUGGCAAAAUGCGACAUGUUUAUAUUUUUCUGGCAAAACAACAUGAUAUUGAUGUGCCUUUGGCUUCUCUAUUGUUGGCUUCUCUAUUGUUGGCGUCUAGUGUAGAAUGAUUAAAAAAAUUAAAUCUAAAGAAUAAUUUUUUUCGAUGUCUUAACCUCAAUCUUCUUUUCUUACCAAUUAAUCAAGAAAAAUGCUAAGGACCUAUCUCAAAAGUAGAACUUUGGAAUUCUUUGUUGAUUCUUAUUUUUUAUAAAAUAUUUUAUUAUAUUCUUACAAGAAUUGAGAUGACAAAAAGUUCAUGAAGAGUCGUACUUUUGAAAUAAUCACUUGACAUUUCCUUUUAUACAAACAUGACUACAUGAGUUAAUUAAUAACUAAUUUAAUUUCAUGUUUUUCAUAACUAAUAAUUUUUAUGUACCCAUAUAUAUAUAUAAUGUAUUUGUUUACUAACUAGCCCAAAAAUAUGAUUGUCCCUUGAAAAAAAAAAAUAAUAUUUUAUUUGAUGUAUGAUGAAUGUAUUCGAACUCGUAAUCUUUUUCCAAAUCUCUUCUAACAUUUAUCAACUCACUUAAAACUCGAUCUCUACUAUAAUUGUCGAUACAAAUUUCCGCCGUUUUUAAUCUUGACGAAAAUGCACCUGCAAAACAAUCAACUUUUUUGAUCAAAGACCUAAGCCUCAUGCGCCCACGAGGUGGGGGGGGGGGUUUAGGUCAACGGAUCUCCGACGCCUAAGUUAGUUUAUCUGAGAGUAAAGUGUUUAAGGCUUUUUAGGGUUGCAAAAGCUCUCUAAGUUUGGUAGAAUAUGGGGUAUUUAUAGCGCUAGGGUAGGCCAUAUAGGGUUUAAUGGAGAAAUAUUCUCUAAAUAUUCCCAAGAUAUUUAAUAGGAUUACUUACUUGAUAGGAGUCAAUCUUCAAUUAGGAAUGUAUUAAAGAUAGGAUUUGGGUAAUUAAUCCUUAUCUUUAAUUCCUUACCAUGGGCAGUUGUGCUCAGUUGCUGAGUCCUUCAGGGAUGUGAGCUGCACGUGGGAGAAUAUGAGAAGUUUGCUCAUUUAUUGAGGACCAUUUUGUCCUUUUUGAAUUAAACAUUUAACACACUUAACUGGCCUUCUACCAUAGUGAUGAAAGAAGUGUUAGCUUUAUAUACUACUACAUGAGUUCGAAUUCCGUUGGCUCUCUUAUUUAAUAAAUCUAUCUUUCUUUUGAUAAAAAAAUAAAAUAAUAAAAAAAUAAAAAAUAAAAAUAAAAAAACUCAAAAUACAAAUGAGCUGUGCAUCAUAGUAUAUUAGAUAAUGUUGUAUAAUAUAAUUCAACAGACAACUGUUUUUUUUUUUUUUUUUUUUUUAUAAAAAAGCAAUAGAGAAUUAGGUAAAUACGAUGUAAAAACAUUUCUACUCAAGAGGCAGAUUGUCUGCCCCCUGUUUGGAUGCCCUUUUUAUUCCCUUAUAUUUUAUGCGGUCACAGUUAAUACACGUCAACAUUUUAUAUUAAUUUUUUUUUAUAAAGAUAAUAAGAUAAAAACAUAAAUAAAGAAUAUAUAAUAUUGACAUAGCUUACUGUUUAACCAUGACAGCACAUAUAAAAAAAGAUGGGUAGAGCAUCCAAAUAGGAAGACAGACAAUCUGCUUCUUUCUACUCAUCUUCUAAGUGUCAUGUCAUAUAAUGGCAUGUGAUAAAUGCAUGACCCACCACAUGAAUAAAUAGUCCUCAAAACACGGCACGUGGAAAUGAUUUAGCUAGUGACCACCAAGAUUAUAUUCUUCUGGCAAAAUGCGACAUGUUUAUAUUUUUCUGGCAAAACAACAUGAUAUUGAUGUGCCUUUGGCUUCUCUAUUGUUGGCUUCUCUAUUGUUGGCGUCUAGUGUAGAAUGAUUAAAAAAAGUAAAUCUAAAGAAUAAUUUUUUUCGACGUCUUAACCUCAAUCUUCUUUUCUUACCAAUUAAUCAAAAAAUGCUAAGGACCUAUCUCAAAAAGUAGAACUUUGGAAUUCUUUGUUGAUUCUUAUUUUUUAUAAAAUAUUUUAUUAUAUUCUUACAAGAAUUGAGAUGACAAAAAGUUCAUGAAGAGUCGUACUUUUGAAAUAAUCACUUGACAUUUCCUUUUAUACAAACAUGACUACAUGAGUUAAUUAAUAACUAAUUUAAUUUCAUGUUUUUCAUAACUAAUAAUUUUUAUGUACCCAUAUAUAUAAUGUAUUUUUUUACUAACUAGCCCAAAAAUAUGAUUGUCCCUUGAAAAAAAAAAUUAAUAUUUUAUUUGAUGUAUGAUGAAUGUAUUCGAACUCGUAAUCUUUUUCCAAAUCUCUUCUAACAUUUAUCAACUCACUUAAAACUCCAUCUCUACUAUAAUUGUCGAUACAAAUUUCCGCCGUCUUUAAUCUUGACGAAAAUGCACCUGCAAAACAAUCAACUUUUUUGAUCAAAGACCUAAGCCUCAUGCGCCCACGAGGUGGGGGGGGGGUUUAGGUCAACGGAUCUUCGACGCCUAAGUUAGUUUAUCUGAGAGUAAAGUGUUUAAGUCUUUUUAGGGUUGCAAAAGCUCUCUAAGAUUGGUAGAAUAUGGGGUAUUUAUAGCGCUAGGGUAGGCCAUAUAGGGUUUAAUGGAGAAAUAUUCUCUAAAUAUUCCCAAGAUAUUUAAUAGGAUUACUUACUUGAUAGGAGUCAAUCUUCAAUUAGGAAUGUAUUAAAGAUAGGAUUUGGGUAAUUAAUCUUUAUCUUUAAUUCCUUACCAUGGGCAGUUGUGCUCAGUUGCUGAGUCCUUCAAGCAGUGGCGAAGCCACGUGAGGGCGAGGAGUGGCGACCGCCACUCCCCUCGCCGGAAAACACAGCCCCAGCGUUGGUUUAGCUCCUCCCCUCCCGCUCGAAAACCCAGCCCCUCCGCAGCUCCGCUUCCUGUCUCUCUUCCUUCGAACUUGUUCUGCUACACAACAGCAGAAAAGAACCGUUCUGUUUUGUUUUAAUCGGAGCAGAAAUUCAAAUCACUGAGAUUUUAAAUUUUUGAGUGAUACAAAAAUUUAAUCGAGAUUUUCCCAAAAAAGUGACGGAAAAUCCUAAUUUUCUGUUUUGGUUGGCAUUUUAAAAGAUUUUCCGGGAAAGUGUGUAUUUAUAUGGCACUGUCAGAGUGCGUAAGUUGGACUGGGGUGUGACUGCUUUGGUAGGUAAGAGCAAUUCCACUCCUAAGGACUUUGCGCCAGCACCCAGCGCAUUUAUCCACUCAAAUGAACAGUAACAGACUCCAAUGAACAGUAAUAGGCCAAGGCAUCUCCACCCCUAAAAAAAUGCGCUGGCACCUAGUGAAAAAAUGCGCUGGCACAAACGAUCUUCAUCCUUACAAAAUGCGCUGGCACCCAGCCCAUUUAAGAUAUUUUUAAAUUUUGUCUAAAAGAAUAAAAAAAUAAAAUAGUUUUAAUUUCGGAUAGGAUUUUUAACCAAUCUCGUCACGCCACAUGUCAUUAUCUGAACGUACUAUUUUGUGAAUAGAUUUCCGCUAAGAUUUUCAACCAAUCUCGACACGUCACGUGUCACUUCCGUUUUACAAUAAUUUAGCCAAGAUUUCGAUAAGAUUUUCAACCAAUCACGUCAUGCCACUUGUCAUUAUCUGAACGUACUAUUUUGUGGAUAGAUUUCCGAUAAUAUUUUCGACCAAUCCCGACAUGCCACGUGUCACUUCCGGUUUACAAUAAUUUAGCCAAGAUUUCGAUAAGAUUUUCAACCAAUCACGUAGUGCCACGUGGCAUUGUCCAGAACCUCAUCCUUUCUUUUUUUGUCCAUAUAAACCCUACAUCCCUACAUCCAUCCUCACACCAAGCUCAAUCAUUCUUUUUAGCUCAGAAUCCUUGUUCAUCGUUUUCAAAUCUUAAGUUCUUAUUAUCGUUUUCAAAUCUUAAGUUCUUAUUACAAUGUCUUCUUCAAGAAGGGUGUAUAAACAGUUGCAGGAGCAACAACAAAGGUUGUUGGCACAACAGGCAGAAUUGGCCAAUCUCGAGGAAGGUGGAAGUGGAGGUGGAGAUGAGGCUUUCUUCAUGGAGGAGGAUGAGGAUGAUCACCAUAGAAGGCAGAAGGCCUCACAUUCCCGCCUUGUCAUGGAAGUCGUGGGUCAGAUAGCCAAACCAAGACGUGUUGCAAACCUCGAUAGAAAAAGGGAAAAACGAGGUAAAAAUCUAUUGGAAGAUUAUUUUAUUCCCAAUAGCAUAUUCCCUGAUCAUAUUUUUAGACGGCGUUUUAGAAUGCAACGAAAUUUGUUCAACAAAAUCAUGAGUGAUAUUUGCAACCAUGAUUCAUACUUUGUGCAAAAAGAGGAUGCUUUUCAUGUUCUAGGUCUUAUUCCCGAGCAAAAAAUUACGGCAUCCUUGCGAAUGCUUGCAUAUGGAGCAUCUGCAGAUCAAGUGGAUGAGAUCGCGAGGAUGGGAAAAACAACUGUUUUGGAGUCCCUGAUGCGUUUUUGCUCUGCAAUUGAAGCCCUCUACACCAAAGAGUACCUCCAGACACCCACGCCAAGGGACAUGCGAAGGCUUCUGAGGAAGGGUGAGAUGCGAGGCUUCCCUGGCAUGAUUGGAAGCAUGGACUGCAUGCAUUGGACUUGGAAAAACUGUCCAAGUGCGUGGCAAGGAGCAUAUGGCAACAGAAAAUGAGCCAAAAGCAUCAUUUUGGAAGCGGUGGCUUCAUUUGAUACAUGGAUUUGGCAUGCUUUUUUUGGUGUUCCAGGAGCUCAGAAUGACUUAAAUGUCCUUGCCCAAUCCCCAAUGUUCGACGAACUGCUGCAAGGAAACUCGCCGAGAUGCACAUAUACCAUUAAUGGUACCCAAUACGAGGGAUCAUACUACCUUGCAUAUGGCAUUUACCCAAGGUGGUCAACAUUUGUCAAAACAGUGCCACAUCCACAGACUGAAAAGGAAAAACACUUUGCAAAAUGUCAAGAAGGGUGUAGGAAGGAUGUCGAGCGUUGUUUUGGUAUCCUACAAGCUCGUUGGGCGAUUAUUAGGGCUGCAGCUAGAAUGUUUGAUGUCGAGGCUCUUCGAUCCAUCAUGAUGACGUGUAUUAUUCUCCACAACAUGAUUGUUGAAGAUGAGUAUGAUUAUGAUGGCGUCGAUGAAUAUGAGCCGGAUCCGAUGAACAACUCAAGAACACGUAUCUAUUGUGCUCAUGAUGGGACCGAAGAUCCAGUGCAACACGAGCCGUUGGAACGCGAUGGACGUUACAAUGAAUUGAUCGUUCAACGUUACACUAAUGUGCAAGAGCCAUACUGGCACGUAACCCGCCAGAAUGACUUGAUUGAGCACCAGUGGGGAUUGCAUGAAGGCGAAGAUAAUUAGAAUGAGGCUUGUGGUUGAAGAAUAAAUUGUAUUUUUUUUUUAAGUUUAUGUAAUUCUAUGUAGUGUGUUUUGUUUUUAAGUUUAUUUAGUGAGUUUAUGUAAUUCUAUGUAUUUGGUGAGUUUAUGUAAUUCUAUGUAGUGUGUUUUGUUUUUAAGUUUAUUUGGUGAGUUUAUGUAAUUCUAUUUAUUUGGUGAGUUUGUGUAAUUCUAUGUAGUGUGUUUUGUUUUUAAAUUUAUUUGGUGAGUUUAUGUAAUCUUAUUUCAUGUGUUUAAAUAAAGUACAAAAGAAAUAAAGUUUUAAAAAUAAAUAAAGAAUUACAUUAAAAUUGCAUAAUAAAUUAAAUAAAAAUAAAUAAAGUUUUUAAAAUAAAUAAGGAAUAACAUAAAAAUUACAUAAGAAAUUAAAUAAAGUUCAAACCUAAAAAAAGAAAAAAACAUAAGAAAUUACAUAAGAAAUUAAAUAAAGUUCAAAAGAAAAAAGAAAGAAAAAACAUAAAAAAAACAUAAAAAUUAUACAAAGUCUCUCGAGUUAGGAUAUGUGGUGCGAGGAUCUUGGUUGUCACAAAAGUUGCUAGAACCCCCUUGACUUGUUUCCGCAUCUCUUGCACGCCUCCUUCGCAUGGCAUCUCUUUUUUUCCGAAGUCCAAAAAAUAUUUAGAAUUCGGAGACAGUCCUACUAGAGACUUGCUCAUAGUGUCACGAUCUGCUUGAGCCAUCCUUUCUUCUCGAAGCAAUUCAUUUUCUCGAUAAAGUGCUUCUCUAACCAGCUCGUUCUCUCUCGAUUAACUACUUCUCUUUGUCUCUCAGCCGCCGCAUCACGGGCCUCAGUAGCUGCUAAUAUUGCUGCCAUAACAGCAACUUUUUCCUCAUCUCUAACCUUUUCUCGUGCCAUGUUCAGUUCACCUUGGCGAGUAAGUUCCUCCAUAUAUUUAGUGUAGUCAUUCUUGGAAGAACUACCUUUUUUCUUUGACGCCUUUUUACCUACGGGCCUGAGGGACUGACGAAUCGGUUGGGUCUCGGGCACUUGUUCAGGCAUCCCUUCUGUGUCUUGAAAUGUGUCGGCUUCUUGUUCGGCCAUGUCUGGUUCUGGAGAACUAUGUAGACCCAUACCGUGCAUGACAACUUCUGGACCAGUUGCCACAAUUUUGUAUUUAGGACAAUCUUUGACAAUUUGCCAACAUUCCCAUCUAGUGAAUGAUUUGUUCCCGUUCUUUGAAUUGUAGAAUGCUUGAGCUUGUAGUGUCUAUAAAAAUGUGGGAUAACAUAGUGUUAAAAAAUGCGGGUGUAACACAAAUAAAUAAAUUCAAAAUAUUAAUACGGGUGGAAUGCAUAUAAAUUACAUAAAAAUGACAUAAGAAAUUAAAUAAAAAUGACAUAAGAAAUUAAAUAAAAAUUACAUAAAAAUUAUAUAAGAAAUAAGAUAAAAAUUACAUACGAAAUUAAGUAAAUCAAAAUAUUAAUGUGAGUGGAAUGCAUAUAAAUUACAUAAAAAUGACAUAAGAAAUUAAAUAAAAAUGACAUAAGAAAUUAAAUAAAAAUUACAUAAAAAUUACAUAAGAAAUAAGAUAAAAAUUACAUACGAAAUUAAAUAAAUCAAAAUAUUAAUGUGAGUGGAAUGCAUAUAAAUAAAUAAAAAUAUUGUCACCUGAUCCGCUAAACUUGUCCCACUACGGAGGUUACCGGAAGCAUGAGAGAUGGCGUUUUUCCAACAAGUAAAUGAUGCGUUGAGUUUUUUCCAACGACCUUGAAGACCUUGACUAGUUCUGGCGUUUUCUCCAUGUACAUCACAAAACGCUUUCGUAAUUUUACUCCACAUUUCUCGCUUUAUCCAUCUCAUUACCUGUAAUCGGAUCAUGAGUAGUGUGAACCCAACAUUCACACAACGUAACAUCUUCAAUGAGCUUCCACGAAGACAUUUUUUUCUCUUAAAGUGUAGAAAAUAUUGAAAUGUAGAUAGUAUAGAAAGUGUAGAAAAUAUUGGAAUGUGGCGUAAAGGUAGAAGAUGAGGGUUAGGUAUUUUAUAGGAAAAAAAUUAACAUUUUUCAAAAAUUUUCUGUAAUUUUUUUAAAAUUUUCUGUAUUUUUUAAUAAUUUUUCUGUAUUUUUUAAUAAUUUUUAAUGAAUUUUAAUAUAGUUAAUUAAUCUGGACCGUUGGAUUUGAAAAAUAUUCAAAUCCAAGAGCUAGGGAGUUGCCACGUGGCCAACGGUCAUAUUUCUGACCGUUGGGCCCUUUUUUUAUUUAUUUAUUUACUUUUUGUGAAAAAAACGUGGACCGUUGAUCUUUGAUCCGACGGCCUAGUUUAAAAGUAAAAUUUAAAAUUUUUUUACCGUUGGAAAUCCAACGGUCUAGAAAACUAGCCGUUGGAAAUCCAACGGCAGAGAGAGAGCCACGUCGCAAACUCGGGGGGUGGAACUGACAGCACCUGCACGCGGGCCUGAGCUCUGAAAGCUUGUCGGGCACUCGCGCCACGGCUGCGUGAAGCGCACGCGCCAUGCUUCCUCCCCGGUUUCUGUCUCAGUCUCUUUUGGGCUGGGCUCUUGCCCAGCUCGGGCUGGGUACCAGUCAAUUUGUUGGGGUGGACUUGAUUGACUGAGGCCUGGCUUGGUUUUUGGACUGAAGGCUGGGACAUUUGGUCCCCGCUGGAAUUGCUCUAAGCGGAAGGGCUUUGGUGAUGGACGGUGGUGACGUGGAGCCGGUGGAUAGGACGGGUGACUGGGAAAUGCUGGUUUAGGUAGUGCGGAUCCUGCGUGGAAAGUUGUUAUUGGAUGGUGCGAGUCAUUAGGUUGUGUCCUCGUGUGCCACCAUCGAUUUGGAAAUUGGUAGACAUGUAGGGUGGUAAGAUACCACUCUUAUCCUUGACAUAAAUGCAUACGUGGAGUAAGCUUAAGGCAUGGUAGAGUAAUUAUCCACUAUAACGCAAAGCACCAAAUCAUCACUUUUUAUGUCUUUAUUCGAAUUUUUUCAAAAGAACCUAUCCUUUUUCCGGGGAUCCUGAAAAUUCCGUGAUCGUGAUCAUUCAUCGUAUAUCGUGCGAUCAGUUUUCGCUAGUUACUAUUUAUAUUUAAUUUUAAAUUUUAAAUUUUAAAUGAUUUUUGACUGCACAAUAUACGAUGAACGAUCACGAUCACAGAAUCCUCAGAAUUCCCGAAAAAAGGAUCCGACGAGAAUCAUUUUCCAUUUUUAAAUGACAAGUUUCACAUCAAUUUAUUUAUUCACCCAUUAGUUUAAAUGACAAAGUGAAUUUUUGCUUCGAACUGGCUCUCCCCCCCCCCCCCAAAAACUCAGCAGCCAACGAACGGAACGGAACGGAGCCAUCUCACAGGCUCACUCCAGCCGAGCUGCCGUUUACUCGCACACUCACUCUCAGUCUCACAUACUCACUUCAGAGAGGGGAUGAGGUCACUUGGUACGCAGACGGCGAUAAGAUUGUGAGGAAUGAGUAUAAUCCAGCUGCACCCUAUGCAUUUGGUAAUAUAUUAGUUAGUAUAUAUUGUUAUUUUGAAUUUGGAAAUUUUGAUGUGGAGUUAAUUUCGAUUUCGGUUAGUUUAUGGAAAAUGCAAAAGAAAAUGUGUUGGAAUUAAUCUGCAUUUAACGUAGUUACAGGGUUUUGAAAACUGAUUGGAUUUGGGGAUGGUUUUGUUGUGGCAGAUAGAGUUUUUGGACAGCAUGCCAAUUCGAUAGAGUUUCAGUAAAGCUCCGUUUGUGAGUUGUGCAGAAAAGGUUAUAAUGACCAAUGUUUACACUCUCUCUUUGAUUCCACACUAGGGGACUGGAUUUAAGCUUGCCUUCCAUGGCCCUGAAAAUAUUAAUAUCAAAUGAUUAGUGAGAAACUGCUUUUAUGGGGGGGCACCAUUGCGUGGAGAUCAAUGGUUGAGUGAUAGCAUGCUUAUUUACAUUGAGAAAGAUGUGUUUGUUUUUAUUGAUAAUGAGCCUAUUAUGCGACGUUUUCAUGACCUGAAACUUCGCCAGCAACAAUUGUAAUUUGUUUGUAUUGAUUAAUUAUGGAAGACAUUACUAUAUAAAAAGAUUUAGUUGUUGCCAUUUUUCUUUAACCUUGCAUUCUUUUAAGUUCGCUCCUCCCCCCGAGAAAUCCUGGCUUCGCCACUGCCUUCAAGGAUGUGAGCUGCACGUGGGAGAAUAUGAGAAGUUUGCUCAUUUAUUGAGGACCAUUUUGUCCUUUUUGAAUUAAACAUUUAACACACUUAACUGGCCUUCUACCAUAGUGAUGAAAGAAGUGUUACCUUUAUACUACUACAUGAGUUCGAAUUCCGUUGGCUCUCUUAUUUAAUAAAUCUAUCUUUUGAUAUAUAAAAAAAUAAAAAAUAAAAAUAAAAAAACUCAAAACACAAAUGAGCUGUGCAUCAUAGUAUUAGAUAAUGUUGUAUAAUUCAACAGACAACUGUUUUUUUUUUUUGUUAUGAAAAAGCAAUAGAGAAUUAGGUAAAUACGAUGUAAAACAAUUAUACUCAAGAGGCAGAUUGUCUGCCCCCUGUUUGGAUACCCUUUUUAUUCCCUUAUAUUUUAUGCGGUCACAGUUAAUACACGUCAACAUUUUAUAUUAAUUUUUUUAUAGAUAAUAAGAUAAAAAACAAUAAGAAUAUAUAAUAUUGACAUAGCUUACUGUUAACCAUGACCGCACAUAUAAAAAAAAGAUGGUUAGACCGUAGAGCAUCCAAAUAGGAAGACAGACAAUCUGCUUCUUUCUACUCAUCUUCUCAGUGUCAUGUCAUAUAAUGGCAUGUGAUAAAUGCAUGACCCACCACAUGAAUAAAUAGUCCUCAAAACACGGCACAUGGAAAUGAUUUAGCUAGUGACCACCAAGAUUAUAUUCUUCUGGCAAAAUGCGACAUGUUUAUAUUUUUCUGGCAAAACAACAUGAUACUGAUGUGCCUUUGGCUUCUCUAUUGUUGGCGUCUAGUGUGGAAAUGAAUUGUCACAUUCGUUUAUAGUUUCUAGAUAACUAGUAAUACCGUAUAUGCUUUUUUCUUUUGUUUUUUUUUUUUUGUUGGAAACUACCCUAUGUGCUUUUGGAGUAUUAUUAUUGGACAUUACACUUUGAGCAGCAAGAGUUUCUUGCAUUUUAGCUUUUUUUCAUGUGUCCAUUUUAUGUGCGGUAGUUGUUGAUUUUUGCGCUACGGGUUUGAAUCAUAUAAAUCUAUAAAUAAAGUUUAAAUUGCAAUGUUUGUAUGACAUUUAAAUUAGUCUGGACUUGUAGUUUAGAACUAAUGUUUCUAACAUGGUGUAUGAAACUUAAAUAUCCCAUAUAUUUUUUUCAUCCACUGUAUAAAAAAUGAAAAAUACAUGUGUUAAUCACUUAUACAAUACAUCCAAACGAGAAUAAGAAAAUUUCAGAAUUUGAAUAAAAAAUUAUGGGAGAGUCAAUAUGCACAUGAUUUUUGCUUUAGUACCGUGGGAUAAUAGCUUACCGUAAGCAAAAACACAAAAUAUAAAUUAUAAAUAUAAUAGAAGGAUAACUGGAAUCGCUCCAGGGGUCUCUCACCCGUACUUGACCUCUUACCAAAGAAUUUUGGCAUCUAUCCCAUCUCAGGGCUAGAAUUUUAAUCUCUGGAAGGCAAAGCUUUUCUAUUCAACUCUUCAUUGUUUGUUAAUCUGAAUUACAAGGGAUGUUUAUAAAGCCUAAAACCUAAUGACCGCAUGAAGGUAAACUUAUUAUAGUAAAGAAAUCCUAAUCCAAAAUAAAAUAGGACACUAUAUCUAAUCCUAAUUAAACUGGAAAGAAUUAUAGAGCUCGUUGGAAGUGAUUUUAAAAGCUGAAAAUGUUUUUGGUGAAAAUGAUUUUGGAACCAAUGCUUAGUAAAAAUGCAAAUAAAUUCCAAAAAAAAAACACUUAGUGUUUCCUUAAAAAAGCAUAUAACCGGUGGUUCCUAUAAUAAGCAUUUCAAGUGCUUUUGAAAUCCAAAAAUAUUUUAUCUAAAAACGUUUUUAAUCAUUUUAAAAGUACUUUGAAAUCAACCUUUAAUCCUUAUAAACUAAGUAAUCAUAAAACUACCCCCUAGAUAUUAAAAUACUAAGGACUAAAGACUAAAAAGGCUAAAAUACCCUUUAAUUUAGGAAGUCACCACUCUUGUUCCACGUGACUUAGCUAUUACUAAUUUACUAUCACCAGUAAUUGAUGAAAGAUAAUAUCAAAAUAGAGAGGCAUAAUAGAGUCAGCAAAUCUAGAACCUCUCUUUUUCAUGCAAAUUUUCCUCAUCGACGAAGAAAAAUGUGCUAUAUAUUUUUUAUUCAUGUGUUUCAAAAGUGGAUGGUCUCUUCAGUAAGGUGGUGAACUUAAAGAAAUUUGAGGUUGUAUUGUAAAAUUAAUUAGUAAAUAGAGAGUGGUUCAAUUCUUUAUAAGCUCUUGUAUGAUUUGAUUUCUCACCGAUGUGAGAUUUUGUCUUUACAUUCUUACACUAUUCUCGCACGUGGCAAAUUUUAAAACCUAACAUGCGGACAAUACAAAUUGGGUGACGUGGAACAUGUGUGGCCAUUAGACUUCACACGUGGGCUAAUAUGAAGAUUAGUCUAACUCUUCAUAAGCCCUUGCAUGAUUUGGUGAAUCACUGAUGUGAGACUUUGUUCUCACAUUCUCACACGCUUCAUCAUGUGUGACGAAUAUUCAAGCCUAACAUAUGAACAAUACAUAAAAUCUCAAUUUUCUACAAAGUAUCAGAGUUGGUUGAAUCAGAUGUUUAAUUAUUCUUUCGUAGUAUGAAGUCAAUUGAACUACAUGUUUGAUAUGUAAGGAUGUAAAUGUUGAUCCACAUCAAAAAGUUAAGAGACCGUUUACGAUUUUAAUUUGUCCUGAAAGAUGCAUUUCACCAUUUGAUGUAGCUCGUAUGGGAAGCCUAACUUUUUUCUUUCUCUCUUUUUUUUCUCGCAAUAUAGAUUGUUAACUUUUUCUUUUAAUUUGAGGGAUUCUCCUUGUCUUAAUGAUGUUGACAUCGGAGUGGUAUGGUUCAUGAAUCUUGACUAAGAAAACCCCUGCAUUCAUACACACAUUUUUAGUGUGCGGUCCCACCAAUUUCAACUAUAAAAACAUCACAAUCCCCUUUCCUUCUCAAUUGCAGAGUACAAGAAGCCCCAUUAAGGCAGCACACAUUGUUCUAAUUGUAAGUCAGAAAGGAACAAAGGAGGAGACUCAGCACAUUCACACUCCUGGCUCAAAGAGAGACAAAACGUGCUAGCCUAUGGACAAUAGAGUUAGCUUGACGGUGAGUAUGGUAAGAAUAGCAUCAAUGCUUGAUGGGAGUAGCACCUUGAUAUCUUUCAUAAUUUGUUCAACUGAGAAUAGAUUGAUAGACGAUACGAUGUGGGUUUGGCAAAGUGUGUGUCAAAAAAUGGAUGUCCCAAGAUGCUAAUGAUAUGACACACACUUUGUCGGGCUCAUUCCAUAACAUUUUCAAGAAUUUGAAUCAUCUAUAUUUCAAUUCAUCGUUCAUAUAUGUCCUUGCCAAAAAUUAAAAAGAUUCAAAAUCAUUAAAACAUUAAUUUGUAAGGAAGAAAAUACAGAUGGGCGUCACAAACCCUCCCCGCCCCCCGGUUGGUUCUUGUUCUGGCUCGAGAUGGGCUUCCUUGCCCCCUUGUAAUUAGGUUUUUUUUUUUAUUUUUCUGGAUGGCUUCGCGCCAUCCUUUUGUGCCUUUUGAGGCUUGAUUGUGAUUUCCUAUUUCUUCUGAGAGUUUAAAUGUAUUAAGUCCUUGAACGUAGGAUAUCAUGGUCUAUGUUUAGUUAUGUUUCUUGGAGUACUUGUUCUGUUUUAAUACAAUGACCUCUUUCUGAAUUAAAAAAAAAAAUUGACUUUGCCAAUUUUUCCCCAAUCAAACAUUUAACACACUUAACUGGCCUUCUACCAUAGUGAUGAAAGAAGUGUUACCUUUAUAUUACUACAUGAGUUCGAAUUCCGUUGGCUCUCUUAUUUAAUAAAUCUAUCUUUUGAUAUAUAAAAAAAUAAAAAAUAAAAAUAAAAAAACUCAAAACACAAAUGAGCUGUGCAUCAUAGUAUUAGAUAAUGUUGUAUAAUUCAACAGACAACUGUUUUUUUUUUUUUUUGUUAUGAAAAAGCAAUAGAGAAUUAGGUAAAUACGAUGUAAAACAUUUCUACUCAAGAGGCAGAUUGUCUGCCCCCUGUUUGGAUGCCCUUUUUAUUCCCUUAUAUUUUAUGCGGUCACAGUUAAUACACGUCAACAUUUUAUAUUAAUUUUUUUUAUAGAUAAUAAGAUAAAAAACAAUAAGAAUAUAUAAUAUUGACAUAGCUUACUGUUUAACCAUGACAGCACAUAUAAAAAAAGAUGGGUAGAGCAUCCAAAUAGGAAGACAGACAAUCUGCUUCUUUCUACUCAUCUUCUAAUUGUCAUGUCAUAUAAUGGCAUGUGAUAAAUGCAUGACCCACCACAUGAAUAAAUAGUCCUCAAAACACGGCACGUGGAAAUGAUUUAGCUAGUGACCACCAAGAUUAUAUUCUUCUGGCAAAAUGCGACAUGUUUAUAUUUUUCUGGCAAAACAACAUGAUAUUGAUGUGCCUUUGGCUUCUCUAUUGUUGGCUUCUCUAUUGUUGGCGUCUAGUGUAGAAUGAUUAAAAAAAAGUAAAUCUAAAGAAUAAUUUUUUUCGACGUCUUAACCUCAAUCUUCUUUUCUUACCAAUUAAUCAAGAAAAAUGCUAAGGACCUAUCUCAAAAGUAGAACUUUGGAAUUCUUUGUUGAUUCUUAUUUUUUAUAAAAUAUUUUAUUAUAUUCUUACAAGAAUUGAGAUGACAAAAAGUUCAUGAAGAGUUGUACUUUUGAAAUAAUCACUUGACAUUUCCUUUUAUACAAACAUGACUACAUGAGUUAAUUAAUAACUAAUUUAAUUUCAUGUUUUUCAUAACUAAUAAUUUUUAUGUACCCAUAUAUAUAAUGUAUUUGUUUACUAACUAGCCCAAAAAUAUGAUUGUCCCUUGAAAAAAAAGAAUUUAAUAUUUUAUUUGAUGUAUGAUGAAUGUAUUCGAACUCGUAAUCUUUUUCCAAAUCUCUUCUAACAUUUAUCAACUCACUUAAAACUCCAUCUCUACUAUAAUUGUCGAUACAAAUUUCCGCCGUCUUUAAUCUUGACGAAAAUGCACUUGCAAAACAAUCAACUUUUUUUAUCAAAGACCUAAGGCUCAUGCGCCCACGAGGUGGGGGGGGGGGUUUAGGUCAACGGAUCUUCGACGCCUAAGUUAGUUUAUCUGAGAGUAAAGUGUUUAAGGCUUUUUAGGGUUGCAAAAGCUCUCUAAGAUUGGUAGAAUAUGGGGUAUUUAUAGCGCUAGGGUAGGCCAUAUAUGGUUUAAUGGAGAAAUAUUCUCUAAAUAUUCCCAGGAUAUUUAAUAGGAUUACUUACUUGAUAGGAGUCAAUCUUCAAUUAGGAAUGUAUUAAAGAUAGGAUUUGGGUAAUUAAUCCUUAUCUUUAAUUCCUUACCAUGGGCAGUUGUGCUCAGUUGCUGAGUCAUUCAGGGAUGUGAGCUGCACGUGGGAGAAUAUGAGAAGUUUGCUCAUUUAUUGAGGACCAUUUUGUCCUUUUUGAAUUAAACAUUUAACACACUUAACUGGCCUUCUACCAUAGUGAUGAAAGAAGUGUUACCUUUAUACUACUACAUGAGUUCGAAUUCCGUUGGCUCUCUUAUUUAAUAAAUCUAUCUUUUGAUAUAUAAAAAAAUAAAAAAACUCAAAACACAAAUGAGCUGUGCAUCAUAGUAUUAGAUAAUGUUGUAUAAUUCAACAGACAACUGUUUUUUUUUUUUUUUUUUUUGUUAUGAAAAAGCAAUAGAGAAUUAGGUAAAUACGAUGUAAAACAUUUCUACUCAAGAGGCAGAUUGUCUGCCCCCUGUUUGGAUGCCCUUUUUAUUCCCUCAUAUUUUAUGCGGUCACAGUUAAUACACGUCAACAUUUUAUAUUAAUUUUUUUAUAGAUAAUAAGAUAAAAAACAAUAAGAAUAUAUAAUAUUGACAUAGCUUACUGUUUAACCAUGACCGCACAUAUAAAAAAAGAUGGGUAGAGCAUCCAAAUAGGAAGAUAGACAAUCUGCUUCUUUCUACUCAUCUUCUAAGUGUCAUGUCAUAUAAUGGCAUGUGAUAAAUGCAUGACCUGCCACAUGAAUAAAUAGUCCUCAAAACACGGCACGUGGAAAUGAUUUAGCUAGUGACCACCAAGAUUAUAUUCUUCUGGCAAAAUGCGACAUGUUUAUAUUUUUCUGGCAAAACAACAUAAUAUUGAUAUGCCUUUGGCUUCUCUAUUGUUGGCGUCUAGUGUGGAAAUGAAUUAUCACAUUCGUUUAUAGUUUCUAGAUAACUAGUAAUACCGUAUGUGCUUUUUUCUUCUUUUGUUUCAUUUUUUUUUUUUGGAUACUACCCUAUGUGCUUUUGGAGUAUUAUUAUUGGACAUUACUCUUUGAGCAGCAAGAGUUUCUUGCAUUUUAGCUUUUUUUCAUGUGUCCAUUUUAUGUGCGGUAGUUGUUAAUUUUUGCGCUACGGGUUUGAAUCAUAUAAAUCUAUAAAUAAAGUUUAAAUUGCAAUGUUUGUAUGACAUUUAAAUUAGUCUGGACUUGUAGUUUAGAAGUAAUGUUUCUAACAUGGUGUAUGAAACUUAAAUAUCCCAUAUAUAUUUUUCAUCCACUGUAUAAAAAAUGAAAAAUACAUGUGUUAAUCACUUAUACAAUACAUCCAAACGAGAAUAAGAAAAUUUCAGAAUUUGAAUAAAAAAUUAUGGGAGAGUCAAUAUGCACAUGAUUUUUGCUUGAGUACCGUGGGAUAAUAGCUUACCGUAAGCAAAAACACAAAAUAUAAAUUAUAAAUAUAAUAGAAGGAUAACUGGAAUCGCUCCAGGGGUCUCUCACCCGUACUUGACCUCUUACCAAAGAAUUUUGGCAUCUAUCCCAUCUCAGGGCUAGAAUUUUAAUCUCUGGAAGGCAAAGCUUUUCUAUUCAACUCUUCAUUGUUUGUUAAUCUGAAUUACAAGGGAUGCUUAUAAAGCCUAAAACCUAAUGACCGCGUGAAGGUAAACUUAUUAUAGUAAAGAAAUCCUAAUCCAAAAUAAAAUAGGACACUAUAUCUAAUCCUAAUUAAACUGGAAAGAAUUAUAGAGCUCGUUGGAAGUGAUUUUAAAAGCUGAAAGUUUUUUUGGUGAAAAUGAUUUUGGAACCAAUGCUUAGUAAAAAUGCAAGUAAAUUCUAAAAAAAAAACACUUAGUGUUUCCUUAAAAAAGCAUAUAACCGGUGGUUCCUAUAAUAAGCACUUCAAGUGCUUUUGAAAUCCAAAAAUAUUUUAUCUAAAAACGUUUUUAAUCAUUUUAAAAGUACUUUGAAAUCAACCUUUAAUCCUUAUAAACUAAGCAAUCAUAAAACUACCCCCUAGAUAUUAAAAUACUAAGGACUAGGGGUGAGUUUGGUACGGUUACCGUACCAAAACCUUUGUACCAAUUACCGUACCAAACUUUCGGUUUGGUAAAAUCUAUUACCAUUACCGUACCAAACUUUCGGUAUACCAAAGUUUGGUAUUGCCAAAAGUUCGGUUGGCAUGGUAUGGCAAUGGUAAUUGCCAUUUUGUUUUGGGACAAAAUCUGUUUUUGUUUUUUUUAACCCAAUUCAAGGGCAAAACUUUUUUUUUUGGUACCUUUAUCUCAUACAUUAUGGAUUAAAUUCAUCUAUUAUUCAUUAUUCACAAUUCACACACAUAAUAAUUCAAAUGAUGCAUCAAGAUUCAUCAUGAAAAUUAAGCUUACAAUCCAAAUAGAAGUCAACAAUCCAAAUAGAAAUUAAAGUUUCAAACCAAAUGAAAAUUGGAAGUAAACUUCAAAAAGGAGAAUUCAUUGAUUAGUUAUUCAAGCUUGAGAUGUCGAAGCUUUUGGAGGAGGCAUUGAAUUUGUAGAAGAUUGAGUUUGUGUCAAGCCUACAUUACAAACAAAGAAAACAUAUUAAUUAGUAGCAAGAAGAAUUAAAGUUGAAAACCAUUUAAUAACAAAUUUACUAAAAAAAUUAAAGCAUAUCUUUCUUGUUUUCUCUUCUUCCAUUUCCUUGUAAAAUUGAAGCAUAUCUUAUGUUGGUUCCUUGUGGAAGUUUACUUCAUCUGCCCUAAGCCAACCAUUAGUACGCACUAGUGCCUCCAUUAUUUUAGGAGUCAAGGAUACCCUAAAAGGGUCCACAACCCUCAUCCCUAGGCUAAAUGCAUUUUCACUAGCAACAUUAGAAGUGGGGGUUACAAAGAUAUUUUGGCUAUUUGUGAAAGAAUUAGGAACUCUUUUGUGUUUGAUUUCCACAAUUUUAAGAGACCAAUCAUCAAAGUCACCAACAACAAUGCUAAUGUGAGUAGAGUUUUAUUUUCAAAUUAUUGGAAUAUUAUAAAAUUGUGUUAUAUAAUUAUCUAUUAUAUAAUUUAUAAAUUAUAAAUUAUAUUGUAUUUUCGGUAUGGUACGGUAAUACUAUGGUAAUGAUAUCCAUUACCAAUACCAUACCAUGAAAUUUCGGUACGGUACAAUACCGUACCAUUACCGAUUGGUACAAAAAAUUUGGCACAAAAUCGGUAUGGCACGGUUGGCAAUUCGGUUGACACGGUAAUUUGGCAAAAAAAUCCACCCCUACUAAGGACUAAAGACUAAAAAGGCUAAAAUACCCUUUAAUUUAGGAAGUCACCACUCUUGUUCCACGUGACUUAGCUAUUACUAAUUUACUAUCACCAGUAAUUGAUGAAAGAUAAUAUCAAAAUAGAGAGGCAUAAUAGAGUCAGCAAAUCUAGAACCUCUCUUUUUCAUGCAAAUUUUCCUCAUCGACGAAGAAAAAUGUGCUAUAUAUUUUUUAUUCAUGUGUUUCAAAAGUGGAUGGUCUCUUCAGUAAGGUGGUGAACUUAAAGAAAUUUGAGGUUGUAUUGUAAAAUUAAUUAGUAAAUAGAGAGUGGUUCAAUUCUUUAUAAGCUCUUGUAUGAUUUGAUUUCUCACCGAUGUGAGACUUUGUCUUUACAUUCUUACACUAUUCUCGCACGUGGCAAAUUUUAAAACCUAACAUGUGGACAAUACAAAUUGGGUGACGUGAAACAUGGUUGGCCAUUGGACUUCACACGUGGGCUAAUAUGAAGAUUAGUCUAACUCUUCAUAAGCCCUUGCAUGAUUUGGUUAAUCACUGAUGUGGGACUUUGUUCUCACAUUCUCACACGCUCCAUCAUGUGUGGCGAAUAUUCAAGCCUAACAUAUGAACAAUACAUAAAAUCUCAAUUUUCUACAAAGUAUCAGAGUUGGUUGAAUCAGAUGUUUAAUUAUUCUUUCGUAGUAUGAAGUCAAUUGAACUACGUGUUUGAUAUGUAAGGAUGUAAAUGUUGAUCCACAUCAAAAAGUUAAGAGACCGUUUACGAUUUUAAUUUGUCCUGAAAGAUGCAUUUCACCAUUUGAUGUAGCUCGUAUGGGAAGCCUAACUUUUUUCUUUCUUUUUUUUUUUCUCGCAAUAUAGAUUGUUAACUUUUUCUUUUAAUUUGAGGGAUUCUCCUUGUCUUAAUGAUGUUGACAUCGGAGUGGUAUGGUUCUUGAAUCUUGACUAAGAAAACCCCUGCAUUCAUACACACAUUUUUAGUGUGCGGUCCCGCCAAUUUCAACUAUAAAAACAUCACAAUCCCCUUUCCUUCUUAAUUGCAGAGUGGAAAGGAAAACCAAUUCAGCCAUGUCUUCAUCUCCCUUACCAACUUCUACAAUGGUCGCCCUGCACUCCACCACAACCACCUUCUUCCGCUCUCAUUUAUUCCCAAACAAGUCCCAGACUCCACUGCAACGAAAACCCAAACAAUGCCUUGCGGGUAGAGUGCGCUGCAAAGCAACAAAAGGUGACAAUGAUAACCUAGAUCAGGGCCUAGCAAGACUCGACAGGAGAAACAUGCUGAUAGGUUUAGGCGCCGGGGGUCUCUACGGUAAGGUAGGAAACCCAUUUGCUUUUGCCGCACCAAUAUCCGCCCCAGACUUGACCACGUGUGUCCCUGCCAGCAAGCCAGACGGGUCCACCAUCGAUUGUUGCCCACCUACCACCACGACCAUCAUCGACUUUGAACUCCCUGACUCAGGCCCACUCCGCACUAGGCCCGCUGCCCAGGACGUUGCAAAUGACCCUGAAUACUUGGCCAAAUACAAAAAUGCCGUCGAGAUGAUGCGGGCACUUCCAGACGACGACCCGCGCAGUCACGCACAACAGGCGAUGGUACACUGCUCAUACUGCGACGGUGGAUACCCACAAGUUGGAUAUUCAGAUUUGGAGAUCCAAGUUCACUUCUGUUGGCUA